UUGUACCUCAGGUGCUGUUGACCCACUGCAAAUAAUUCCCUGACAGCAGGACAUUGCUCGGAAGAGUCCCCAAGGGCCCUCAAUGAAGUGAAAUUGCUAUGAGCCUCUUCCUUACAAACCUGCAGGGUUUCCAUCACUGAGCCCAUUCAUCAGUGACCCUGGUGACCUGAGUUAUCCCUGGAGCUCACCUGACAUUUCCUCCUGGCUCUGGUAGGUCAUUCCUCUCCUUUAGUCAACCUCUGAUGUCCUUGCAGCCUGUGACCUUGAGGGGGAGUUACUGGGUAGCAGAAAGCUGGGACUUGUGCUGCUUGAAUGAGGUGGCCCACGCAUGAGGGCCCACGGGCUUGGGAGCUGCCCAGGGGGCCACCCAGGGGGCCACCCAGGGGGCCUCUGACACUUGCUGGGAGGGAGAGUCCCGGCACACCCCUGCUCUACUCAUAUCUGACGGGGAUUUUUCUUCCUGCUAAUCCAAUUUCAAGAGGGAGGUCCACCCUUCCGAGUGGACUUUGGGAAGUGACAGUAAUAAGGAAAGGAUGUUGGUCUGUCCCUUCUGCCUGAAUUCCACUCCCAACCGUUAGUCAUUCUUUCCUGCUAAGCAGGUGCUUCUCUUAACAACACAAAUUCUCAAGGUAACCCAGGUUACCAGAUGGAGUCCCUCCUUCCAGGGGCAGGUUGACCAGGGGCAUGGGACCUGGGUGGAGGAGGGAGGGGUGAAGCCAUAUGCUAGUUUUGAUCAAUCUGACCUUAAUUGGAAAACCUGGGCAGAUGUCAGUUGCUAUGGGGUCAGCCAGGUUACCUGAGUGCCUUAGUUUCCCUCCUUUACCUGGGUUCUCACAGAAGUCACAAGAAGCGUAUUUCUCCUUGCUCACUUCAUCUUCUGUGAGUGCUUGGGACCAAGAAACACAGACUUGGGGGGCUGGGGUGGGGCCAGAGCCUCCCCUAGUUGCUGAGACCCACACCUAUGGAGCUUCUGUGGGGCUGGCUCUGCCCCUACCUGGAGGGUUGGGAGGCUUCUCCAAGCCCCUGACUCUCUUAUCUGCAGUGGGAAUGUAAACGACAGGACUUUUCUUUUAGGGUGGUUAUGGGUUGCAAGAAAUAAGGUAUGUGCUCAGCUUACUGGCCACCAAUUGGCAUUAGUGACACCCACAGGCAGGAUCAUUUUGUUGAUCUUUGAUCCCCCCAGAGUAAGUAAGGGUCUCCUUUGUGGAAGCUCAGUGUUUGGCUGAAGGCAUUGAGUUAGAUUUGCAAGAGCAAUUUCUCCUCAGGGCCUGUUGGGGAAGGGGGAGGGUUCCUACUUCUGCUGCUGAGGAGGGAGGGGAGGAAGUUCCCUAGCCCUGGAGAGGCCCUUGUGCCCCUCUCCUGUCACGUUUUCCUCUUCCUCCGUUGUUCCUCAGGCUGUCACCAGUGAGGAACGGAAGCCUUCCCAUGCCCUGGCUCGGUGUCCCCAGACCUUUCCUGCUGUUCCCUUUCACCCAGCUGGGUGGGACUCUGCCCUGGAACUCUGCACUGUCCCCUCAUUUCUCUUUGGCUUGUGUAAGAGCAUUCUGGUUCUGUGGCUCAGGGUAAGGAUCCUGGAAACCCCAGGGGGCAUGAAGCCCAGUGCCCAGGGCAUAGACCAGGCUGUUGGCACUGCAGUCUGUCACGGCCACCUUGUGCCAACCGGGUGAACUGGUUAUCCUGGCACAAGUGUACAUUCUUUCGGCUGCCACCAGCUCCAUGGGCGCCUGAGAAGCUGCUGUGAUAGCCCGAGCAUGCCACAUGCUCAGCUGGAGCCUGGCAUAGUUAAUCAGCUACCAGGGCAUCCCCAAGGAUCCCCCUGGGAGGCGCAUUGCCUGGAACCCUGGGCUGCUUCCCUCCCUCCACUUCUCUUGGAAGGAGGAGGAGGAAGAGGAGGAGGACGAGAAGGGCAUCUGCCUCACAGGGGAUGGGAGGGAACACAUUUUCCUCUCUUCUCUCUCUGCUUAGUGAGAAAUGACUGCAGCCCCCUGCAGAUCUUCCCUGUGGGGGACUGCUUUUCACCAAAGGGUGGGAGAACAGAAGAAUAGAGAAUUCUGGUUUAGAAGAACAGUGGUUCUUUAGAGAACUCACCUUUUAAAGUGCAUUCUGUCUAAUAAUCAAAUCUUCAUCCAUGGAGUUAUUAAGUAAACUCCUGUGGGUUAUUAUUUUUAUUGUUUUUUUUUUUUUUUCCCUAAUGAUGCUGGUGCUGGAACCCAGGACCUUGCAUGUGCUAGGCAAGCACUGUAUCACCGAGCUGCACCCCUGGCCUGAGCUGUGGUUUUGUGAUGCACAUCUGUAAUCCAAGUGACUCAGGAGGCUUAGGAGGCCAGCCUGGGCAACUUGGUGAGACCUGGUCUCAAAAAUUAAACAGAGCUGGGAGGUCGCCUGGCAUGUGUAAGGCCCUGGGUUUGAUCCUCAGCACCACAUAAAAAUAAAUAAAUAAAAUAAAGGCAUUGUGUAAGAGAUAGAGAGAGAGAUAGAGAGAGAGAGAGAGCGCUGGGAGGUCGCUCAGUGACAGAAUACCCUGGGUUCCAUCCUCAGUACCGCUAGUGGCCACUCAUGCUGCGUGUGAGCUUCUGUGCUUGUGAUGAUUCAGAGGGCGGGUCUGGGUCUCUGAGGACCUUGAAGCCCAGGGCACAGACCCUAGUUGUCUGUCUGUGGGGAGCGGCAGGGAGGCCAGUACAUGGAGAUGCAUGGAGGGGACAACUGGGGAGAGUGGCAUUGGCAGGGGGGCAUGGGCAGUAGGCUUCAUGGUGGACCUGGGUCUUUAGGACGCAGCCCUAGCCACCUCCCUGCACCCUGCUGCUCCUCUCAGUCACCUGCUACCCAGCUGUACAGCUAGGGAUAGACAGGCCUCAACCAAGGCCCUAGGGUGGCCUUGAAGAACUUUAGCCCCUGAGAUUCUAGCAACCUCAAGAGGCCCCGCCCACCCCCUGCCCUGGCCAUCCCACCCCCCAUCCCACCCCGCCAGCAGCCCCAAAAUGAGUCUUUAUGAAGCACAGUGUUUGGGUGAUGGGUGAAUCCAGGUCCUGUGGCCUUGAAAGAGGCCACCCCCUGAGUCCAGAGGGAUUUGUUCCUUGUUACUGCCUGCCUGGUUGUCCACCUACUUGCAGAAUCCCCACAGGGGCUGCUCUGGCAAUGUCUUAUCUCCUUCCAAAGACGGAUGGGAGCAGACCAUAGGGCUUCUGAGCUGGCGAGUCCCUUAGAGAUGGCUUAGCUCUCAAGUCUUACUGAUGGUGAACUGAGGGCCACUGGUCACCAAAAAUUUACUCUUUGCAUCAGUCAGUGGGUGGGCUAAUAUUGAUUAAAAAAAAUUUUUUUUUAGUUGUAGAUGGACACAAUACUUUUAUUUUAUUUUUAAAUAUUUAUUUUAGUUUUAGUUGGAUACUUUUUUUAUUCUUUAAUUUUUUAUGUUAUUUUUUAAUGUUUAUUUUAUUUAUUUAUUUUAUGUGGUGCUGAGGAUGGGACCCAGUGCCUCACACAUGCUAGGCAAGCGCUCUACCACUGAGCCACAACCCCAGCCCUUGAUAUUCAAAAGCAUUACAAUUCUUAUUACAUGUAGAGCACAAUUUUUCAUAUCUUUGUAUAUAAAGUAUGUUCAUACCAAUUCAUGUCUUUAUACAUGUACUUUGUUUUUCUUUGCAUUACAAUUCUUAUUACACAUAUAUACCACAAUUUUUAAUAUCUCUUGUUUGUAUAUAAAGUAUGUUGACACCCAAUUCGUGUCUUCAUACAUGUACUUUGGUUGAUGAUGUCUAUCACAUUCCACCCUCCUUGCUAAUCCCCUGCCUCCUCCCCUACCCUCCCACCAUUCUGCCCUAUCUAGAGUUCAUCUGUUCCUCCCACGGUCCCCCUCCCUACCCCACUAUGAAUCAGCCUCCUCAUAUCAGAGAAAACAUUUGGCAUUUGUUUUUUUGGGAUUGGUUAACUUCACUUAGCAUUAUCUUCUCCAACACCAUCCAUUGACCUUCAGAUCCCAUGAUUUUAUUCUCUUUUUUUUUGAUUUUUAUAAUCAAUAAAAGAAUAGUCCAUGCAGAUGUUGUAGUGCAUGCUACUACAUCUACUACAUCUCAGUGACUUGAGUGGUUGAGGCAGGAAGAUGGCAAGUUCAAAGCCAUCCCAGGCAACUUAGUGAGACCCUGCCUUAAAAAAAAAAAAAAAAAGAAAGAACUGGGGAUGUAGCUUAGUGGUAGAGCACCCUGAGUUGUUGAGAGCCCAGUAACUAACACACACACACAGAGUUGGAGCUACUACAUCAGGGAUAAUGAUUAAAUAAUUGUGAUGCAUGUACAAUAAAGACAUAAAAGAGGGUGUCCUGGGUGAGAGGUAGAGGAGAGAGGUGGGUAUUGAGGGAUGGGUAGGAAUUUGUGAAUGGGGUCCAGAGGGACAGAGGGCAUUCCAGGCAUGUGCAGAAGUCAUUGCGAAAGAGUCUGCCUGGGUGAUUGGGGUGGCAGGUGGGAUCAGCCAGGCUGUGGAAGGUCUGAGUCCAGAGGGAUUUGUCAUUCUCAGAAGAAUAAUAAUAAAUUAUAAAAAUAAUCUCAGGAGGCAUGACUCUUCCUUCUGGUGGAUGCUGGAAUGUGGGAGCCAUGGGUAGGUGAGGAGGCCUGGGUGGGGAUGGCUUUCAGGAGGUGAGGCUCCAUCAGGGAAGGCUCUGGGGGAAAGGCAGGAGGCCACGGAGAAUAUACUCCUAAAAUAAAACAUUAUAGACAUCAUGGAGAAGGUCAUGAUGACAACCAGAAAUCGAUAUUGAAAGUGUCUUACCAUUCCCUCGUCUUGCUUCUGGGCCCCAGGGUCUCACUGCAGGGGAUCAUUGCUACCAGGGGACAUUUGGUUGUCACAUGGGGGAGGAGCUGCUGUCAACUGGUGGGAAGAGGCCAGUAGUAGGGUGGGGGACUGCCGAGCAUCCCAGAAUGCACAGUGCAGCACCCCCACACUGGAAUGACCUGGCCCUAAAUGCCAACAAUGCAGAGGUUGAGAAGCUCUGCUUCAGAGGCAGCCAGUAUCACGAAGUUAGUACACCGUGUUCUGAUCUUUUUUUAAAGCACACACAGAGAAAGAAUAUUUAAAACUAUAUUGUGUUGUUUUCUAAAAAUUCUAAAAAUUUGUAUCUGCUCUGAAUGCUGCAACUCGCUCUUUUUACUUGGCUUUAUGUUUCUGAGAAAGAGCAUGGUGUCACAUGUAGAUGUAACCUAUUUAACUUCUGUGGCUUAGCUAUUUUAUACAUGGGUCAUGUUUUAUUUCUUCAUUCUUCUGCUGAUAGGCACUGAGAUUAUUUUUUAUAAUUAUUAUUUUUUUGCUGUUCUGAGAAUGAAACCCAGGGCCUACCACAGAGCCACAGCCCCCACCCACCUAGAUUGUCUCUGACUGUUCCUGGUCAUUUUCGCUGGAAGCUGCCAGAAACAUUCUUGCACAUGCUCUUUGCGCUGUGUGUGGAAUUCCUGGGAUGUGGGGACAUACCUCUGUGGCUUGCAAGACCUCUCUUGUGCCCUUAGCAAGACUUGAGGUGGUCUCUCAUUAAGUCUUUCCUGUGUUUUUCCCCAAAGUACUGGGGAUUGGACCCAGUGCUUUACUCACACUAGGCAAGUGCUCUACCACUGAGCCACACCCUCAGCACUUUUUUUCUUUUUAAAUGUUUUUUUGAGACAGUCUUUCUAAGUUGCUGAGGCUGGCCUCAAACUUGCGAUCCUCCUGCCUUAGCCUCUUGGGUAGCUGGGAUUAUAAAUGUGCACACAUUACAAUUGUUUUAAUUUCCUUUUACUUGAUUUCUAGUGAGGAUGAGCAUUUCUCCUCAUGUAUGUUGGGCACUCGAGUUUUUCUGGGGCCUCUGAGAGCCCUCAUCCCAGAGGGUCCAGGUGGCAUCCAGUUCUGGUGUCUCUUCCUUUGAGGAAGCUUCAGAGUCACGCAUCUGCUCCUCAGCACCCAUGCACACCUCUGCAGCUGCCAGUCUGGCUGCCCUCCCGACAGGGCACGACACAGUUGAUUAGGUUUCGGCUUUUUAUCUUGUUUUAUGAGACUGCAGCGUGGUAACCUUGGCUGGGCUGGAUGUUCCCAAGCCUCCCAGCGUGUUCCCAGAGGAUAACUUUGUCUCUGAGUUCUGGGGGCUCCCGGGUCCUGGCAUUCUCUGGGCGGUGCUGGGCGGGUCUCCUGCUGACGCCGGCUCUGUCCCUGCAGGCAGACCUCUGCGUUAUGACCUGGCUGCUGGGCUACAUGAACCCCUGGGAUUCCAGCCUUGUGGCGGCCGCCCUCACCAUUGCUUUCAAUCCUCUCUUCUGGAAUGUGGUAAGUACCUUGUGCCUGACCCCGUCCAGCAGGGUGACCUCGCACGGAGAGGAUCACUGUUGUCCAGGCAGAUGGGUGACUGGAUAGCUCUGUUAUGCCCUUCUCUACCAAUGGUCAGCACCCCGUGAAGGUACACUGGGAAGCUCCUUGCCUUGCAGGCCCAAGCAGCAACUCAGCCGCCAGGCCUGCCCUGGGCUGACGUCAGGGUGGCCGAGGGCAGCAGGACUGGCCCUCUUAGCACCACAGGCCCUGCAGCAGAGAGCUGCCUGGCGGUAGGACUUCACGUGUACCCCCCCUUUCCUUAGUAGCCGUCAUAUUCAGGGAGUCGAUUGCUGGGGCUGCAGGGCUCCCUUCCCUCUCUGCCUUGUCCCACUAUCAAGCCAUUUUCUUGUGAAUCCCCCUCCUCCAGGUGGGCUCCAUAAACAUUGCUGUUCCCACAUGUGGCUUCCUGUGAAGUAGCUUGCACGGCUGGGGUGGAGGUGUGGGUGGCAAGGACAAGCUGACCGGGACUGAAAUCAGAAGACAGAGCUGGAUGUACCCUAUUCAUUUGUGGGCACCAGGGGACACAUCCAGAGGCCUGAGGGCUCUGUGGCAGGGCCAGGGUGUGUGGGCAGUGGGUUCUGGGCCCGUGGAGCAAGGUGUGGGUGCGGCAGGCCAUUGGCUCCUGCAGUGUCCCCACCAAGAUUGCAGAUUAAGCUUUUGGGGUGUGUGGCCCUCUCUCCUGUGGCCAUCUCUGGAGGGCUGUCCUGCCCCAUAUUGCCGAGCUGGUGGUCCUGGGGCUCAGCCAGUGCUCGGCCCUCUGAGGCAGAGCUGUGGACGCCCUGUGAUCACCCUUGAGGCUAAUCUACAGAAGGCCAAGAUCCGCGUCAGCAACACACUGUUCCCAGUUGUUUUCAUUUAAGGUGAGCCCUUGGUCCCAGGGCAGAGCACGACAUGUUUUGCAUCUGGUUUAUGACUUGGGCCUUUUCUCCAUCUGGGGAGAGUGGCAGUGUGUGGGGGCAGGGCCAGUCAUCUUAGAGUGGCCACAUUCUGAAUGUGCUGUCCCUGUUGUCCUGAACACACUGGCCCUGCUUCAGGAGAGGGUUUCAGAGAGGGUGGUCUAGAGGUGGGACCAAGGCCAGCGAGAAGAAUGACAUCUCCCCUUCCUUUUGAGAAGCCUUGGUUUCCGAGUGUGUGGCGGAUGUGCCAGAGUUGGUCCUAAUCUCCGGAUGUGGCCUCCCCAGCAAGGGUGGGUGUCUGUGGGGCCUGGCGCCUUAGCCUCGUCCCUGCUGUCCCUCACCCCCUGUGCUCGCUCUCCACCUGUGCACGCAUGACCAGAGAGGGUAAAGAUUAGGCUUCCGGCCACUAGAACUGUGCGAGAAGACCCUUCUGUCGUUUUUUAGCCACUGUGUUUGUGUCCAUCUGUUAUAGCAGGUACAGGAAAUGAAUGCAGGGUCAACAGGCUAUUGAUCCCACCUAGAAGAUAUCGUGGCCCUAAGUAACUGGGGUGUGUGGGUGUAGGUGUGGGUGGGUGUGUGCAUGCUCCUUCCUGUCCACAGCCUCUCCCAGGAGAAGACUGCUGGGCUUCAACAGCUGCCCGGCCUCCCUGUCCUCUGGCUCCUACAGGCCUGGCUGACCAGCAGUUGUUUGAGUGUGUGCUGGUCUCCUCACCCUGGGGACUUGGGCAGCCAAAUGUCCAGUGGGUCUUGGGGUGUACUUGGCCAUUUUCUGCUGGCCCUUCCAACUGUGUGCUCUUUUGCACACUUCAUUCUGAAGCUGUGUCAUGGCCCCCAGGGACAUCCAACGUAGCAAGGGGUCAAGGUGCAGUAAGAUUUGAGGCAGUUUCUUGUCUGUGUGUUUGUCAUAGGUGGAUUUUUUCCCCCCACUUUGGUCAUACGUUUUUGAUUUGCCUCAUUUUUUUGAAAAAAUUAUUCACUGGAACAGAUUGUGGUCAUUAGUGGUAGAAAGAACAAACUCUUCAGAGUUGUUUCAGAAUGAGAAAGCGACAUAAUGUUUACGGUUCAGUGGGCUGCUCCCCUGGGAGAGCCAUGGAAUGAAAUCUGGAGGCAAGAGGAGCUGGGAUGAGCAGGGCCUGAUGGCGCAUGCCUGUGAUCCCAGCAGCUCAGGAGGCUGAGGCAGGAGGAUUGCAAGUUCAAAGCCAGCCUCAGCAACUUAGCGGGGCCCUAAGCAACUCAGUGAGACCCUGUCUCUAAAUGAAAAAAAAAAAGUCUGGGGAUAUGCUCAGUGGUUAAGUACCCCUGGGUUCAAUCUCUGGUACAAAAAAAAAAAAAAAACCAAACCAAACCAAACCAAAAAAGCACUAAGAGGAGCUGGGGUGGGGCUGGAGCCUGUCUCUGUGAUGAGGUGGUGAUUGAAAAUCCACCUUGAGAAAUAAAGGAGUCUGGCUGUGAAAGCACUGGAAGAGCUAUUUGUUUAUUAUGUGGUGCAGGAUGGAACCCAGGGCCCAUGCAUUUUAGGUGUGCACUACCACUGAGCUUCCAGCCUAAAUCAGUUACUAAAUUCUAAUGAUGGCCGAUGUCCAGAGGCCUUGUCACAGACAGGCAUCCCACUUGGUGCAUUUCAUGUGGGAUCUCUGGACUUUUACAGCACUGCUGUUAUAUCCCCUUUGAAGGGUGGGGUUUGAGGAGGAUGUUAGUCAAUUAAAAAAAAAAAAACUUUUGUCGUUUAUAGAUGGACACAAUGCUUUUAUAUUAUUUUAUUUUUAUGUGGUGCUAAGGAUUGAUCCCAGUGCCUCACACGUGUUAGGCAAGCACUCUGCCCCUGAGCCCCAGCCCCAGCCCCUUAGUCCAUUUUUUUUGUUGCUAUAACAAAAUAUCUUGAGGCUGGGUACUUUAUAAGGGGGUUUAUUUGGCUCACAAUUCUGGUGACUGGAGGGUUCAAAACAGCAUGGUGUCAGCAUCCUGUUGAGUGCCUCCUGGCCGCAGAAGGGGAAAGAGCUCAGUGCUGAAGGAGCCAAGCUGAGAAGUGGCCUUACUUUUUACAGCCUGUUCUUCAGAGAACUAACUUGAUCCUGCGAGAACUAUAUCGGUCUCUUUUCAGGGCAUUCCCCAAUGACCUGGGGACCUGCCUUCCAUUAGACGCCACCUUACAAAGGCUCCUCACUUCCCAACACAGCCACACUGAGGACCAAGCUUCUAGCCCAUUAACCUUCGGGGAACAAAAUCCAGUCAUAGUCAAACCAUAGUACAGAGGUUCAUUUGUUCUUCAGAUAUUUCUUGAGGGCCAGGCACUGUCCCAGGCUUUGGGGUGCACCUUCCUGACCCUUAUACAGUGGCAUUCUGUAUAAGAAUAUAUAAUACACAUACAUCCCUGCUACUUGGGGACAUAGCAGGCUAGGGACAGAAGGAUAGGAGGGGUGGUCAGGGAAGGCCUCUUCAAAGGGAUGACUUUUAACCUGAAACUGGACUUCCACGGGAGGGUCCCCCCAGGUGCCUGAGGAAGAGCUUUCUGGUCAGAGGAGACAGCAAUGCAAACUCGGAGGGGGGGCAAGAGCAUCCACACCCACUGGCCUCAGAGGGAGGGUGGAGGGCAGGUUGGAGAGGUGGCAGUAGGCUGCGGGGAGGCUCUGGGGUGGACUUGAGCUGAGAGCCACACUCAGCAGCAGGACCUCUGUGGGGUUUUCAGGGGCGCUGGAGUGGAGCUGGGGCUGGACCUGCAGUUGAGGCCCAGGUGCUGGGGACCCAGGAGUCCUGAUCUAGGCCACUGCCUGGCUCUCUGGGGCUGUGGCUGGUGGAAGUGUUUCCGCAGCCUUGGGCAGGGUGGGCUGCCCUCUUCAGCUGCAGCACCCUGACACGGGCAAUCUCUCACCCGUGCCCAGUGCCAGUCCUGUUCUGUCCCCACCAGGCCUCUCCUUGUACCCUCCUCACUGCACCACGGCCAGGCUGUGUCCUCUGCUCUCUUACCCCCUUCAGAGGGCUAUUGCUGCACCAAAGGGGGCUUUUCAGCCUGUCUUUGGCUGAGUCUUUGGGGACAGUUUCUCACGUGGCCUUGCUGUCCUUAACAUCAGGCUCUCUGGGUCCCUUGCUACCUCCUGGCUCUCUUCUGCUCCUGUGUCCUUUUCUUCUUUUGCCUGAUGGCUCCAUGCUGGGCAGUUACUCGCUGAGGCCCCACUGUGCGCCAGGCCUUGUGUGUCCUUGGCUGGCUUCCCAGGACAGCCAGCAGUCUCUCCUCCCUGGGCACAAAGACACACGGAGUGUAAGCUGUGGCGAGGGUGGGAACGAAGGCCAGGGUGCUGCCGAGGGGCCAGGGGAACUUCUCCUUCUGUUGCCUGGUCUGUCACCCAGAAUCUGCUCCCAGACCCAGGAGCCCAGGCCCAGGCUCUGUGGCUGCGUCUGGGAUUCUCCAGGCCCCACAGGAACCUUGGCCAAGAACCCCCUGAUAUGCUGUCCUUUCUGUCUCCACAAAUGCCACCUCUCUGGGUGCCAGGGGGAUGCCUCGACUCCCUCCUCCCCCCGUCCCCUCAGUCUGCCCUCACAGACUCCACCUAUCAAGAGAUGCCACCACCUGCUUCAGGCCCUGCACCCAUCAGCCAGGUCUGUGCACCCUCCAGCCCAUCUCCCUCUAGUCACCCCCAAGUGUCCAACGCUCAAAGGCCCCCUGCCUCCCAGGAGGAGGGGUCAGUUCUUUGCCUGGCCAGGGAAGCCCCUCAGCCCUUACCUGCUCCCUCAGUCAUGCUGGGUCCCAGCCUCCUCCUGGGUGACCUGUCCUUUCUCAUCCAGGGCUCCUUGGAGACCUGUGGUAACCUUUGUCAGGUGUCCUUUCUCCACCUUGCCCUCUGGGUCAGGGUCUACAUCAUGCACUGUAGGAUACUCAGCAGUGUGCCUGGUUUCUGUCCACCAGGGGUCAGUAGCACUGCCUCCAGACAUCACCAGGUCUCCUCCCAGGGCACAGUGGCUCAGGUGAUCUGAGUGCCCACCAUGUACGUCCCAUGGCACAGCUGCCAUGCCUGGUGCCACAGUUUACUCCUUACCAACCCCAAGAGUGUCCCAAAGUUCCUGCUCUACUUCGUGUCCCCCUUUGUGUGUGCUGUGCCCUGGGUAGCAACUGCUGCCUGACCUUUUGUAUCAGGGAGGGCCCUGCACUGCCUAUCCUUGGCACCCAGUGCCCAGUACCGUGCCUGGCACAAACAGUGCUCAGGCAGUGUUACUGGCUUCACGAACCUAUCUUGGGCUCCUAACCAGGGGAGGGAGGGAGUCAAGGCAUUCCUCUGGCAUCCUGUGCCAAGGUCCACCUCCAUUUGGGACAUUUGCCUCUGCACCCCCUGGCUUUGCGAAACAGUUGGGAUUGCAGGGAAGGGAAGCACAGCAGUGGCUUGUAAUAGGCACAGUCUGGCACCCAGGAGAGUAAGCCAGGACGGCCCUGCCAGGCCAGGUCCCGAGCUCCUCCCGGGGUCAGAACCCCUGGGAGCUAGCGCCUGGGGUCUGAGUAGUGUUCUUGGGCUCCUGAUGUUUGUGAGAGUAAGUUGCACACGUCUUGGUGUCUUCACCACCAGAGGUUUGCUUACCACAAACGUCCAACCAGUGGAGACGGCACGUCUGGCCACCAUGGCGAACUGAGAUGGAGGGUUGGAGGGGGCAGCGCUGGGUGUUCUUUACCUCUAUAUUAGGACCCCCAGGGAGGGGUAGUGGUGCCGAUUAAGACUUCUACCUGGGCCACAGGUGUGGAGAGGACCGAGAGGCUCCCCCCACUGUGGAACGUCCUCUUAGAGAGCUUUGCUUGUGUCCCUCCAUGCCUGCGUGGCUCCCUCCUGGCAGGACCAGCCCUGCCUCAGGGUCAGCCUGCAGCCCCCACCUCGAAGCUCCCUCUGUCCCAACAUGCCUUGGGCCUUUCUCUGAGGGGUGUGGAGGCUUCAGGUGCUCACAGGGGUGUUGGCUGCCGUGGGUAUGUAUCCCAGUCAUGGCCCUGCAGGUGAGGCCCUGUGGGGGUGGCAGGCCCUGUGCCUGCUCUAGGAUGGCCAACCUGCCCGCUGGCCAGAGGUACUCCUGAGUGCAGCUCAAGAAUCCUUGCAUCCCCAGAGCCCUGACAGUUGGGCCAAUCAGGACCCAAGGUCACACUUGACGGAGAGCUAGUUUGGGAAGAGGUGGCCUUUUCCUCCAAGAAGUUGCAGAGCUUGCUCUGCUGGGCUGAUGAACAGGGUCUCCACAGUGGGAUGUCUGGCCCCUGGUUCCUGUGGUCCUGAGCAGGUGGCAGGGGCUUUGGGGGAGCUUUGGGGUGGCUGGGCGGCAGGUGGCGUCGUGGGCAAGGGGAGGUAUGCUUUCCCUGGUUCCCAGGAGUGGGGAAGAAGUGACAGUGAGGUAAGAGGAGGUGACAUCAGGGAAAGGGUGACAGCAAGAAGGAGGUGACAACGAUGGAAGAGGAGGUCACAGUGAUAGAAGAGACGGUGACAGCAGGGACAAGGAGGUGGGGUGUGGUCCUGGGCCGUGUCCCUGUCUGCCCUCGCCCUGCCUUUCCCCCACCCCACCUCCACCUUCAUUGUGCCUUUGCUGCUGCCGCCUGCAUUUAUGACCCCAGACGCCAGCCUGCAGUCUGUGGGUGUCAGCCCAAGACCCCUUGUUGUUCACAUCCCCUCCUGGCCUUGCUGUCUCCAUUUGUAAAGCGAGACUCUCCAGCUUUGAAACACUGUGAUCCCCUUCUUUACUGAGGCCCACCCAGGCUGGGGUACCCUGUGCUGGGAUGUUACUCUACCCUCCUGGAACUGGUAAGAUUGGACAUCCAAAGUGGAACAGGAAAGUCAGGAUUUGUUUGGAGCUUACUGGAGGAGUUCAGGAGAGGUUGUAUCCAGGUCCUAAGUUGGGGGCGAGGGACAUGGGGUUUGUAGAGGGGAUGGUGCUUCUUGGCCUUGGAUUAAGUUGACCCAGGCUUUCUAGAGGAGAGAAGGGUAGAUAAGAGUCCAGGAAACAACAGAAGGGGAAUGUGUGAGGUUGGCAGGUGGGCAGCAGGCCCUGAGACCCCUGAAGGAAGACACUGAAUGCUUGUCUGCAAACGGGUUGUGUGCCUGAGACUGGAGGUGGUGGUGGUGGUGCUGGGUGUGUGUGUGCACCGCGCACAUGUAUGAGUGUGUCUCACUCAGAUGGGCAGUGGAAUUUGGAGGGGGCGUGAACCAGACUGUCAGGAUCCUUGCUCCCAUCUGGCUUGGAAACCUGGCUCCUGGGCAUGGCCAUUACCACUGGGCUCGGAUCCUGUGUUUCGGGAAGAUGUGCUCCCGGGCCAGGGCACGUCUUGCUGGCUGGGGUGGCCUGCAGCAGUGGGAAGAUUUUUCCCUGAGUGUGGCCAGCUGGCUCGCUGAGCUUGAGAACUUGGCUCUGGGAACACUAGUUAGCCAGCCAUUUAUCCCUUCACACUGAUGUCACCUAAGGCACUGAGGCAUGCCCAAAUGUCCUUGAUCCCUACCUGAAUCUCACUCCCUGCUGAAUUGUUCCAGAACUAAUGGCAGAUCUAGCAUCAACCUCAAUUGCUGAGGACUGGCCACUCUUCGUCAGAAGAGUCCCAGCCUUGCCCCCUAACCCUUAAUGUUGGUUCAAGUGUGAGAUAUCCAGGGUAUAUGAGUGUGUGAUCUUUUUUGAGCCAGGUGCAAACAUGUGAUUUUACGUGCAAACAGCCCUGCCCACCACCCCGCAGGCCAUAUCUCCUCUGAAUGGAGAGCCACAAGGGUGCCGGGAGCCAGGGCUAACUUUAGAACUGCAGUGUCCGAGCAACGUGGUGGUAAUGUGGUGAUAAUGUGGUGAUGUGUACAGACGAGGUGUCUCGAACUGGGUCAGCUCACAGCCUUUGCCAGGAUGGCUCGGGAAUGACAUGGUAGAAAAACAGAAGGAAAUGAAGUGGGAGAGAGGGAGGCGGGGAACACACUCCCCACCAUCUGGGGCUGACCCACUGAGCUGGGUGUCCUCCGUCAGCUCCUCCCUUCCCCCAGGUCCCAGACCUGCAGUUUGAGAGUUUUCUUAGGAAAUUUCUUGCUGGGUGGGUGGGGGUGGGGUCCAUCUUUCCUCUAGGAUGUUUUUUGGUUCUGGCAUUACAGGGGUGUUGCACACCUUAGCGUGGGUAGAAUGGGUGUCACCAGGAGGCAGUGGACAGGGCACUUCACUGUGGGAUUUAGUGUUGAUCACUUCGGGUUCUUGUUACACGGGGGCGGGGUGGGGGGGAGGAUGGGGGGCAGGGAAUUGGGCAGAAUUUUAUGACUUUCUCCUGUGAUUUCCAGCAGAUCUGGCCCCUCAACUUGAAUCUUUUGUUUUUGGGGGCAGAGGGAGUUGCUGGGGAUAGAACCCAGGAUCACACUUGCUAGGCAAGUGCUCUACCACUGAGCCACGCCCCCCAACCCUUUGUAGAUUUUGGCUGCCUUCAGGUUAGGUGGCAUGGUUUGAGGUGCACUCAUGACCUGGACCCCUCCCAUAGGCACACCCCUGUGUCAUCUUGCAGAGCCCUGGCCACGUGAUUCCCUGCCAUCCUACAGGCCUGGUCUCCUCUCAUUCCUCUGUGCCUUUGCACGUUCUGUUCCUACUUCCUAAAAGACCAACCCCCCACUUCCCCACUUGGCUGCCUCUGCCCUUCUUUAGCCAGGCUUCCCUGAGCCUUGACUCAAAGCAAUGCGGCUCUGCCUUUGUGUCUUUGUCCCCUGCAGUGAUGAGCUGGGGAACUGUUAAUAGCAAUGGUCUGUUCCAGUCUGAGCCAUAGAUGGAUGCCUCGGGCCUCGCCCAGUGUUGGAGGGGGUGGAUGGUUGAAGGGUACUCCCUCCUGGAAGGUGAGCCCAAGGUGGCCCUGGGGAGUGAUAGAGCUGAGCAUAGUCGCUCCCAACUCUGCUGGGAGCACAUGGAUCACAGUUAGUCCUCUCCCAUUUUCUUGUGCCUUCUUUCUCUAUCUUUAAAAGGAGCUAGUAAGUCCUCUGUGGACUUCAUGAGUACACUGGCAGGAACCAAGGAGAUGCAGCCAGAAUCAUCUUAGGAGUCAGGGAUCCUGGCUGGUUUUUAUUUGUUUGUUUGUUUGUUGUUGUUGUUUUUGCUACCAGGGAUUGAACCUAGGGGCACUUAACCACUGAGCCACAUUCCCAACACUUUUUUUAAAAAUAUUUUUUAAAGUUGUUGAUGCACCUUUAUUUUUAUUUAUUCGUAUGUGGUGCCGAGAAUCGAAACCAGCACCUCACGCAUGCCAGGCAAGUGCGCUAUUGCUGAGCUGCAACACCACCAACGCUGUUUUUUUUUUAAAAAUUAUUUUAGUUAUAGGCCGUCACAAUAGCUUUAUUUUAUGUGGUGCUGAGGAUUGAUCCCAGUGCCUCACCCGUGCUAGACGUGUGCUCUAUCUUUGAGCUAUAAACCCAGCCCCCCAACCCUUUAAUAUUUUAUUUAGAGUCAGGGUCUUCCUGAGUUGCUUAUGGCCUUGCUAAGUUGCUGAGGCUGGCUUUGAACUUGGGAUCCUCCUGCCUCAGCCUCCCGAGGUGCUGGGAUUGCAGAUGAGCCGCCACACCUGGCUAUGGCUGUGUUUUUUGCUUUGUUCCACUCUUGGGUCUUCUUUUUGUUGAUACAUGCACAUCUAUGGGGUGAUACAUGAUAAUUAUGCACAUCUAUUGGGGUGUAGUGUGGUAAUUCGGUAGACAGUGCAUACUGAUCGAAUCAGUGUAGUGAAUGCUCCCUUCUCCUUAAACACUGGCCAUUUCUUUGGGUUGGAAUCUUUCCAGUUCUUCUCUCUAGUUACUUAUAAAUUGUGUAAUAAACUGUGUAAUCUGUAGUCACCUUCCUGUGCUGUAGAACCCUUGACCUUUUUGAGGAACCACAUCUUCCACCAUGGUUGUAUCAGUUUGCAGUCCUACUACCUCGGAUCUUCUUUUGGGACCAAUCAAGAGUUUGUGGAGCUGGGUGCAGUGGCUCACUCCUGUAAUCCCAGCAGCUCCGGAGGCUGAGGCAGGAAGAGCACAAGUUCAAAGCCAGCCUCGGCAAUUUAGUGAGACCCUGUCUGAAAAUAAUAUAUCCCAGGAAAUUUCCAAGGUGUUGGUUGUCUCACUUCACUGCUGACUUAUGCUGUGACUUGGGACAAGUCACCACACUUCUCUGGAGUCAGCCAGGAGGGGACUUGGAGACUAGAACUGAUGCCAUGUGUGUGUUCAUGGCCACGCAAUGGGACUGCACAGUGACUGGCUGCUGUCGGGCUCUCCGGUGUCAUUGACUGCUGCCUCCAGGGUUCAUCGGUUGCCCAGGUGGCAACCCUGUCCCUGCCCCCUUGUCCCUGACUGCCUGCUCUUUUCAUUCCCUGCCAGGCUGGCAUGAUGAGACUCAGCUGGGAGGGGCAGGGCCUCCUCAGGACUGGAGCCCCUGAGGCCCCAGUUGCAUUCCAGGGAAGGGUCCCUUGUGUUAUUAUCUGUGGCUGUGACCAGAUAGCUGAGAUUGGGGAGUUAAGGGUUCAUGGUCUGGAGAUGGGAAGUCCACCAGCAGGCGCCUGCAGCUGCUCAGUAUCACGGUCACUUGCUGCUUGACUCACGGUGGGAUGUGGAAGGGCAGGUGACCUCGUGGGGAAGAGGCGAAACCUGAGGGGUCACCUUGCUUUAUACCAACCCAGUCUCGUGGUAGCUCAUCCUCCUGUGAGAUGCAGCAAUCGCACUCCCAUGAAAUAUCAUUAACUUUCUACUAAUUAGAUAAGAAACCUAACCCUCCCCCGAGGCACCACCUCCCAACACUGCCCCAUUGAAGAAUUUACCCUCAACACAGUGUGGCACUGUGUGAUGCUGCUAGACCUUGAGACAAUUCCAAUAGUUUGUUCAAAAGAGGGGACCUUGGCACGAUGCUGGGUGCCUGGGCCUGUUGUGGAGCCUGUGUGACCUACAGGCUGGGGGUGUGUCUGGGCAGUGGGCAGAGGCCUCAGGAGGAGCUGGAGUCAGCUUCCAGCCUAGCUCUAAGUAUGUGGGGAGAAUCCAGGCCCUUGAUGGAAAAGGGAAAUCCGGAGAGGCCUGGGGAUUGGAGCAGAGGGUGGUAGGUGGAGUCUGCAAAAAUUCUCCAUCUGCCGUUUUCAAAAUCAGGUGCCUGUUGCUGGCCCAGCCCUCUGAGCAGGUGUGAGGCUCCACGGGUGACUCAGAGGCAGCCACAGGGCCAUCCUACCUGGAAGGACUUUUGAAAGGGACCCCAGGUGGAGCCCUCCUGCAUUCUGGGGAGGCAGCCCCACUGUGUGCAGUGCAGAGGGCUAUGGCUGGAGACCCCACAGCAUAUGGCCCUCACCUUCCCUGAAACAUCAUAUCCUCCAAGUCUCCGCCUUUGCGGCUGAUGUUACUGUCCUGGUCUGAAUGGCAGGAACAGCAAGGUGCACACGCCUCUUUGGAGGUCCUGGGGUGGGAGAUGGAAGCGACGUGGUAAUGGGUGGAGGUGCCUGAGUAGCUGUGUUCCCAGGGCGAGCCGCUGCCUGUGGGGGUCACAUGGGGACAGGUCUACCCACCUUGGCAUCUCUGUGGGGACCAGGUGAGCAGUUAGGCACUGGCCAGAUGUUCCUGAAGGAUUUCUGUGCCCAUGGCCUUGAUUCCUUUGCUGUGUGUAAUUUGUUCUGCAUCACCUUGCUGUGAAUUUGGGCCAGUUCUGUUGGCCUGGUCUGCUUGUAGUUUCCUGGGUUAAGAAAAAAAAAAAAGGUAAUUGAGCUAAAUUAUCUCUCAAUAUCCUUCCAAUUUUAAACAUUUGGAUCCCCAUCCAUCCAAAGAAGAUGGGAAAGGGCAUGGACACAGAUGGAGGCAGGGGUGGAGAUUCCAUUGUAGCAGAUGGAGAAGCAGCUUGAAGUCCCCGUGUUAGUCCAGCUGCACCCCGUCUUUGCCAGUAGUGGGCAAGUGGCCCCUCUCUCCAGUGCCCAGUGAAAAGUCAGCUGCAGCUAGCUACACAGCCAGCUCCACUUCUGGAGCCCUAGGAUGGGUAUUAGGUGACAUUUUCUCCUGAUGGUGCCUCCUGGUCCCCUCCCACUCCCCUGGUUCCAAGGUGUCUUAUCUGUCCAUCCUGAGUGCCGAGUCUGAGCCAGUGAGGAAUGUUUGCAGAACCUGCAAUCAAGACCCACGCAGAAGAGCAUGUGUCAGCCAGGCUUUACAAACUCUGGCCCAGGGCUCAGGUCUCAGGCCCUGCGCAGGUUGUGUGCCAGGGAUUCCCCUGUCCAGGAACCUGUGCCCUUCAGGGAAGCUGGGGAGAGUGCCCAGCGCCUGGGCAGAGCUGGUCCUGCUCUGAGGGCUGUGCUCGUGGGAGAGGGGCUUGCAGUGAGAGCAGUGACAAUACCUGGGCCCAGGGACGCUUCCCUGAUGGGUGGGGCCUGAGCCCAGGUGUGUGUGGCACAGACCUGGCCACGCAUGACCUCAAGCAGCGUCUGUUCCCUGCUCUCCGUGUCCUUACCUCCAGAGACUCACGUUCUGAAAGAGCAGGACCAGCUUCUCCAGCCUCCUGGUGCAGCCCUGGUGAGGCGCUCAGAAUGGGAAGCGUGGGCCCAACCCCAGCCCCCCGUAGGCCACCGACAGCCUCGGCUUCUUCCUCUCCCGCCCACCCUAGCCACGGACAGUACUGGUAUUGGGUUGGCACCAGGCGAAUGAGGUGUGGAAGGGGUCCUGUGACUCACUGUUAAUUGGGUUGAUUUCUGGUGUUUGAGUGUGCGUGUGUGUGUGUGUGUGUGUAGUGCUGGGGAUGGAACCCAGGGCCUGGCGUCCUAGGCCAUAGCUGUACCACUGAGCCACAUCCCAGCCACUGCCAGAGAGGUUUCAGUCCCUUUCCUGGCCUUCCCUCUGUGCUCCUUCCUGCGAUCUCCUGGCACUUCCUCCUGAUACCUCCCCUCUCAUUUUGGAGGCGGUCCCCUUGGGGGAUGGAGCCAAAGUGAUAUCUGUUAUUUCCCCAGUGGGGGUGGCCUGCUGGCUCUGGGAGCCCCGUGAGAGAGGCGAGGGCUCUGAGGUAAGAGGCAGCACUCGCCCUGGUGGGGUCUGGAGCCCCCUAACCCACUCUCCACUGCAGAGGUGGAGGGGACCUUGACUGAUGGCAGGUGGGAGCCCCGCGGUGGGGCUCUGUCUGGAGGAUCCCAAGUCAGUGCCCCUCGGGCUGAGGUCCCGCCUGGUGCCCACCCUGUGUCUCCCCUGUUGCUCCCUCGCCAGGCUGUCCUGGUGCAGGGCAUUCAGGACAGGGGUCAUCACUGGCACCCACGGGGGCUCCCCUUCCAUAGGACCGGAAGACGUGGGGGAAAUGAGGACAGGAGUGACAAUGACAGGUGUCCUGCACAGGUUCCUCCACUUCCUGUCAGACAGGUGGGGACUUUGGGCUUGGCCAUAAGUGAGGCGGCUGAAGGCCAAGGGGGUCUCCUGAGGGGCUGGGGUGGGGGCAGGGGCUGGGGAGGGACUGGCUUGAGUCAGGGUCUGUUCCUUUGUUCUCAGAUGUCCCUUCCUCACUAGCCUCUGAGGGUGAGAUAAGGGAUUUGAGCCUAUAGUGGAGGGGCAGAGCAGCUUGUGAUAGGGACAGGGGCAGUGCUUUUUCUGUAAUGACAGUUGCUGCUGUUGUGAAUGUCAUAAUCAUAAGUGCCACCAAUACCAUUGCUGCCACUGCUGCUGUUUUGGCUGGCCCUUGAGGGGUCAACCCCUGAUUUUGCAGAAGCAGCCACUGAGGAUCAGAGAGGUUCCUUGACUUGCCUGGGUCACACAGCUGUGAGCCCAGAGAUGGCCCUGCCAGUUGGGCUCCUGCUCUUGUGUUCCCCCUCCCACCUGCCUCUUGCACACACCCACACACCUGAGUGCACACACACCCCUGCACCCCUGGGGCACAGUCAAGUCAAAUUGGGCAAAGACGGAAACAUGGCUCCAAGUGGCAGCAUGGCCUGACCCAGAUGGAGCCGAACACUGGGGCCCCUGAGGGCGGGAAGAGGAGUACCCGUUGCCAAUCGAGCCCUGUUGUCCUCUCCCCGCUGGAGCCUGGGGGCCGCACGUGCCUGGCUCUGACUUCUCAGCAGCUUGACUUCCAGGCUCGUGAGCCUCGCCUGUGUCAAUAUUUUGACUGCACUUGGGACUUCCUGUAGGCAGGGCUACAUGUGGAGCAGCCACGUGAGGCUGCGCGUGGAGGUGCCUCUGUGUCCUCCAGCCCAACUCCUGCCCUUACCGUCCUCAGGAUCCUGGCAGAGCGGUGUCCCCACAUCUCAUCUGGCCUCUGAGCACCCCAUCUGUCCUGCCACCACCACCUCUUAGUGGAGGGACCUGGAUGAGAUGCUUGGCCUCUUGGAGCCUUGGUUUUCUCAUCUGUACAAUAGGCCCCGUGGCAGUUGCCUGGCAGGUUGUUGCCGUGGGCAGAUGGUAAAGAGAACCUUGCUGGAGCCUGCGCAGCAGCCAUCACGUCGGGCUCUUUUCCCUUGUCACCUCACCGUCUGCUUCCCGAGGCUGCCUCAGGCUGCACCUGUGGGGUGGACCUGUGGUCUUGCUCUCCUGUGCAGGGCCCUCCCACCUGCUCGGGACCUGCCUGCCUUGAUUCUGGCUAAUAGUGACCGCGGGGCAAUGCAGGGUGCUGAACCCAAGCUCCGUGCCUCCGUUUCCUCACUUGUGAAACAGGUUAGCCAUAGCUCCCCCUGUCGCAGCUGUGGCGAGGGUCAGUGAAAUACCCCGUGGGCAGCAGCACGCAGAGUCCAGGCUCGGCAAGGGUGAAGUGCGAGUGGCUGUUGUCCUCGGGUCCCGUCCCACUGGUGCCCAGUGAUGUUUGGUGACCCGGGGUACACAUGGGUCCUGGCCAUUGCGCAAGGUUUCCGGGGUUCCAGGUACCAAUGGGAUUUGCCUGUAGGGUUCAGGGGAGGGGGGAGGUGGGAAGGGCUGUGGAGGGGAGAUAAAGGGCAGAAGAGGGCACCAACAGGGUGUCCUGGCCUUCCCUGGUUGUGUGGCACACUGUCCCCUACAUGUACCAGGCUGGGAUUCAGGGCACAGGGAGAUAAGCAGCCAAAGGGUAGUUAAGGGCAGUGCCUGGGAAGGGUGGGGUAGUCAGAGUUGGAGAGUUGGACAGACCAUUCCUGUUGCUGGGGUGGCCUGGAGCCUUGGACAGGUGGACCUUUUUUAUUUCCUAAUUCAUUUAUUGGUUCUAAUCAUUUAUACAUGACAGCAGAAUUCUCUUCAAUUCAUUGUACACAAACAGAGCACAAUUUUUGACUUCUCUGGUCAUAUCCAAAGUAGGGUCCCACCAUUCUGUUGUGUGCAGCUGGUGGCUGCCCUGGCCGAUCCCUGCCCUCCCUGGCCCUGAGCUCACAGAUACCCUUACAAACCUUAGGAGGGACAGGACUGACUCUCAGCUCAGUGCUGGGCCCAGGAGCCAGUGCUUUCCCAUGAACUGCCUUCCCUAGUUCCAGGCCCUGGGGGACGCCCGCUCACUUCACCCUGUCCCCAUCACAGCCUCACCAGGGCAGAAGUUGUCUCUGCCAGAAGUUGGUAGCAUAGCUUGUUGCUGUCCCCAGGACAGCAAUGUCACCUAACACCCUUUCAUGUUGACCUGGGCCCAUGUCCUGCUGAGAUGUGCGGUGCUUUGGUUCUUCUUUCUUCUUUAUUGAGUCUCACUAUGUUGCCCAGGCUGGCCUCAGACUCCUGGGCUCAAGUUUUUCUCCUGCCUUGGCCUCCUGAGUAGCGGGGACUACGGGUAGACACCACCAUGCCUGGCUCUUCUGGCUCUUCUCUGUCUCUGUUGCGGGUCUGCUCGGGUACUGGCGGGGCUGGGCUGUGAUGGAACUGGUGAGAAUUGGCCUCCUCUGCUUCCCAGAGGCAGGAGAGAGUGUGUGGCCUCUCUUUUCCCAGUCAGAGAGAGAGAGAGAGAGAGAGAGAGAGAGGAGAAUUUUAAUAUUUAUUUUUUAGUUUUCGGCGGACACAACAGCUUUGUUUGUAUGUGGUGCUGAGAUUCGAACCCGGGCCGCACGCAUGCCAGGCGAGCGCGCUACUGCUUGAGCCACAUCCCCAGCCCUGGCAUGUCCCUUAUUCUGCCUUCUGCCAAGACAGCCCCUUUCCUCCUGGGGGUGGGUGGGGUACCUUGUACUGGGCAGAAUUCUACCACCCACCAGUUGGGAGACUUUGGGGAGGUACCUUACAGCUGUGGUCCAGUUUCUUCUGUGAAAUGGGCACAGUGGGAAUAAAGCUGGCCCUCUGCAGUCUCGGGCUGUACACCCUCAGAUUCAACAGAACUUGGAUCAAAAAAUUCUAAAAGAAAUUGGAUUUUCUUGCUUCUAUCUGUUUCCUAAACAAUGCAACUAUUUACUAUUUACCUACCAUUGACAUUGUAUUGGGUAGUAUAGGUCAUCUAGAGAUGAUGUAAAUCAUAUAGGAGGGUGUGCAUAGGUUCUCUGCAAAUACUGCGCCAUUUUAUAGAAGGGACUUGAGCACUGGGGAUUUUGAUAUUCUGUAGAAAAUCCUGGAACCAAUUCUGCAGAGAUUCUGAAGGGCUGUAGUGCUUGUCGGUUGUGGUGAGAAUCCAGGAAGCUGGUUCCUGUGCGGGAUUUAACACUCACGCACAUGUGUGUGGGAUUCAUGCCCCUCCUUAGAGAGCAUGGAGCCAUGCAGGGCCUGUAAGUGUUGGUUGAGUGAGUGACUGGAUAGGUAUUAUUCUCUCUCCCUCUUUCACUUUUGUGCUGUAGGUAUUUUAAAAAAUCUGUUGAAAAUGCCACUGGUUGUUACUGAUGAAAUCCUGCAAUUAAGGGCUCCAUUUGCUUAGGCCCACGCAGCUCACAGCCCUGGUUUGCUAGCUUUGAAUGUGGCCAGAGCCAGCGAGGCUCGGUGCCCACCCCUGCCAGCAGCGCUGGAGCGUGCUCAGACGUGACAUGUAUGCCUGUGAAGCUGACAGCUGGCUCAAAAGCAGGGUAUUGGGGUGUGUGUUGGUGGGGGGGGGGCAUAAAUGGUUUUGGAGUGUUGUCACCUUUUGUGCCUUCAUGCUCUGCAAGCAUCUCACCCCUGUUUACCAAGGACAGAGACCUGACUUGACACCACAGCUCCCAAUGCUGCCAAUGCCAUCUCCUUUAUACUGAGAGCUGAACCUUUCUGCACAAGGUGUGUCAGUGAGAGAAACAGAUGAGGAGGGAACCGAGAGGCCCUGAGAGCACCGCUGACAUCAGCCGCAGGAUCCUAGCCAGGAGGCCCCCAGGGUGGCUUCUGUCUGCCUCUCCCAGCUCUUCCCACGGCUGGCUCCUGCUUGUGGGUCAGGUUGCAGACCCCAGACCCACUCCCAGAGAAGCUUCUGGACCUUCCAAUCCAGAGUAGCCCCACCUACUGCCUGGCUGGGUGUGUGCUGGGCGGGAGUGGCUGUGACUUGCUGGCAGGCAGAGGGAAGGAGUAGUUCCCCCAGAGCCACACACUCACCUGCUGUGGCAGGAAUCUGGCGUCCUCCCAGACAGGCAAAGGAGAUCAUGGGGAACUGAGGGGAGUCAUCCACAGAAGUCUCUAAAUUUUGCUUGGCUCUCUGGAUACAGAGUUGAAGGAACCUCAGGCCUCACUUGAUUUUGAGUGGCUGUGAUGAAGGACCCGAGAGAAAGUCCCUGCUAGGGCUGGGGAUGUGGCUCGAGCGGUGGUGCGCUCGCCUGGCAUGCGUGCGGCCCGGGUUCGAUCCUCAGCACCACAUACAAACAAAGAUGUUGUGUCCGCUGAGAACUGAAAAAUAAAUAUUAAAAAAUUCUCUCGCUCUCUCAAAAAAAAAAAAAGUCCCUGCUAGUUGCUCUCCAGAGAACAGCCACACUGUGGGGUGAGGAGAAGCCAGGACAUAUCUGAGGCAGCCUGCUACUUGUGGUCAGGUGAUCACGACACAAGGCCCUUCAGGUCCUGGGGACACCUGUGGGCUUAAAGUGGGCAGAAUCAGGAGUGUUCCAGAAUAAGAGGUCAGGUAGGACAAAGGUGUUAGCAGCACCACUGAGAGCGAGGUGGCUGUCAACACAGGUGUGCCUCCCCAGGGAAUAGGGAUAGUAUGGGUGGGAGGGGAAAUGGGGAGUCCAGGGCAUACAAGCACCCCUACAUUUCCACAGCCAAGCUCAGGUGUUCUGCCCUGAGCCGAGAUACUGACAUGGAGGUGAGGGUGCAAGUCUGAGGGCUGCUGGAGCUUUGGCGACCUUGACCUUGACCUUGACUCUGCCUCUGACUCCUGGAUGGAGGAGGCGGUGACAUUAACUCCUUGCUGGCCGAGGGUACUGGGUCUGCAAAGAACACUGUGUGUGGGGACAUCAAAGCUUUCUAAUCCCCUGGCCUGCUGGGCGUCUUCACACCUCGGUGGCACCUGUGUUCUCAGUUUCCAUGGAAAGAUGGACACUGGGUCUUUUGGGGAGGUGAGAGAGGCACUGGGACCCCAUGGAUGGGAGCCCUUCAGCAUUUCCCCAAGUGCACUGUGAGCAGAGGUCCCCUGCAACGCUCUUGGCUGGGGCGGGAAGGGGACCAGGUGAAGGGUUGGGGAGCAGAGUGUUCAGAAGGCACUGUCCCCGAGUGUGGAUUUACACCUCUGCCACCAGGGAGCUUGGAAAGUUAGGUGUGAGAUCCAGUGGCCUAAUUUUAGACCUUGGGUCUCCAUGUCAAAAUGGCAGCAAGAUAAUCAAAAAGAAAGCUGGCUGCGUGACCUUGACCCCUGUUGAUCACAGUCAAGGCAGUUCCAUGGGGCGAGGAGAGCACAUCUCUGGGCAGGGCUGCCAUGGCUGCCUUUCUGCCUGAGGUGGCCUCUGUGGCACUGGGCCCCUUGGCCGCCUGGGCCCAGGUGUGGCUCUGUGACCAUCCUGAAUUGGCCUCAGGUCCCUGCAGAUGAGGGGCUGUGCUGUCCCCACAGAAGAGCUGUCUCCCUACAGGAGACAGAGUGUGGGGUUAGGGGAGUAGGAGAGGACGGUGGCAGCUGUUUGGGGUGAGACAAGAAGCCCAACCAGCACAUGAGACCACCGUUGACCCAGUUUUGCAUCAGACAAUUCUCUUAGCUUUUAGUGGGACUUCUGAUGCCCCUGGUUGUUUGGUUCUUUUCCUAGUUGAUAGUCUUUCUAAAUUACAUGGGGGCUCCCCGCCUCUUUGGUCCAACCAUUCCAUGUUGACGGAGGUCUCCAGCAGCUCCCUGGUGCUGUCCAGAGCUUGGUUAGGCUCCGCUGGGACACACACCCUCGUGCCCCUGCUGGUGGCCCUGAUGCUGCUGUCCUUCAGGACCCUGUGUGUGUGUGCUAUGUGUCUGCCGUCUCCGAGCUCCAUUGGCCACAGUGUCUCAGCAUCUGGACCCAGUGCGGCCCCGCCCCGCCUCCUGUCUCUGGCUUCAGGUGCAGUGAGUGCCCUGGGCACGCAGUCGGGUUGUCAGACUUGUGUGAAGUGAAGGCAUUGUGACCCGGGGCAGGGUGACGCUGCCCACCUCUGCACUGGCUCUCACUGGUGCCCUUGGUAUAGAUGAACAAGGACACCUAGCAUGAUCCACGUGAACCUGAACCAGGCUUGCUGGGCCUCAAGCUGCACAGUCAACCCCUCCCCCCCACCUUGCUUGCCGCCACACACGGCCAUCUUCUUCUUACCAGUGGAGACGGAGUUAAUUUAUUGUUUUUAAUGAUCUCUGCAGUCAUUAUGUUUAAAAUAUUAAAGUAGAUAAUAAGUGUGCAUGAUAAAAAUCCAAUAGUGCCAGAAGGUGUAUAGCCAAAUGGUUCCCUCAGUUCUCUUUCUCCUGAGCCCCUUUUCCUUCCUGAGAAGUCUCUGUAUAAAGCAUCUCUGUACAGACAAGUGUCCCUCUUUACCCUACCUGUGUGGCAGCAUGACAUUCUCUGUAUUUUCCUUUGGGAUGAUCUUCUAACAAUAGUAGUAACUGACAUUAGUGCUUCCAAAGUGUUCUAAUUAAUGGAUGUUUUAACUAAUCCUUAAAGUCAUUCCACCUCUCAGUGGUUUUUAGAGGUUGUUCACUUUAGCAUCUACUGAUCUGCUUAACUCUUUACAUGGCUGUGUAGUACUUCAUCAUGCAGGUAUAAUUUAUGUACCCAUACUCCCACUGAUGGCCAUUUGAUUUCAACUUUGACUACUAUAAACAAUGCCAAAGUAAACCUCUUUAUUUUACUUAUGAGCCCAUGUGGGUAGAUACACGCAGCGUCUACCUCUAGUCUGGAAUUGCUCUGGGCAUGAUUGUUGAAGGGAGGGAGUGUGUUUGUGAAGGAGCAAGACCCUGGAUUCCUAAGCAGACUGUCCUGGUGGGGCUUGUGCAUGAGAUCUUUGGCCCCUGAGUGCUAUAGGAGUCUCCCAAUUAUGGCUCAGCCCUGUAUCUGCAAAGCCAAUGCAGGUCUCUUGUUCAAAACUCAAUUUGAUCGGUGGCGCGGGAGUCGUACAGGGCCAUCCCAGGAACCCAAGCUUCAGUAGCCCCUGGGACAGUCGAGGAUCAUGUUGUUCUGUCUUGUCCCUCCCUUUGGGCGACAGAGAACUGUGAACAUCCCUGUGCUCUGAGAGUCACGGGAAACCUUCUGGCGGGUGUGUGUAGGGGGGUCUAAUUAGCAUAGAACAUGGUAUUUUGAACUCAGGCUGUCCCUAGAGAGGAGAGAAAGUCCCUGUGCCCAGUUGUGCUGUCCUCUCCCUGUCAGAUGGGUUUUCAGGGACAGUCGCACCACUGUGUGAAGGAGGGUGGGAGGAUUGGGUUUCUGUGAGCAGGCUGUCUUUUCUGUUCUUUCUGAAGAUGGGCAGGGUGUGUGGCACUCUGCCGUGUUCGUGCCCCCUCUCCAGCCAGCACCGUCUCUGGAAGGGAGCAUGGGGCGUGAUAUGGACAUGCAGGUGCCCACUGGGCUUGUGGGCUCAGAAUGGUCAUGUGGCCCUAGGAGGACCUGCCUCCUGUCUGCUGGGCUGGACAGAUUGUCACUGCAGUGGACUCUGGCUGUUGACCCUUGGUUGUGAGGCAUUAGCCUCAGGGAGCUGGGCAGAGGCAUAUGGAGAGCGCCCUGUGUUGUCUUUGCAGCUUUUCUGGAAAUCUCAAAGUUUUCCAGAAUAAAAGAUCAUUUCAAAAAAUUACUGUGGCUGCUUGUCACCAUGCAAGGUCUGCACCACUACCCGGGUGGGGAGUCCUGAUGAGUGUGCCCCUGGACAUAGGCACAGGGCUUGGGCAUCUUAUGGCCCAGGUGGUCCCCCAGCCUGCUGACCAAACAGGCCCUGCCUCUGACUCGUUAAGGCCUGUACCCACUAUAAAGCCCUCAGGGACUCUGGGGUGACAUGCUAACCCCUGGAGGGACUGGGGGACACCCUCUGUAACCUGCCUCUUACCACCUGGCCCACUCCUGGCCCAGUCCCAGCUCUCAGCUGCCAUGUUCCCUCCUUCUGCCUCUCCACCCCCCACAUCCCAUUUUCCUUUGUCACACUGUGAAAUGCACCACACAGUAACAUUGUUGUCACAUAUACAGCGACAUGAUAUUUUAGUGGAGCUGAAAAAAUUUUUAUUGCCUGCUAUUUUUGCAGCACCUUUUCCUAAACGUUUAGAUGUAUUUAGGGACAUAGAGACCAUUGUAUUUCAGUGGUCUUCAGGGUUCAGUUCACUAACGCGAUGCUCAGGUUUGUCGUCACCGAGGAGCAGUGGGCUAGCCCAUGUAGCCAAGAUGUGUUCCAGGUUGUACCAUCUCACCUGGGAUGUUCCCACAAGAAAUUGGCCAUUGAUGCAUCUCGGAAUUUAUCCCUGCCAUUGAGCCAUGUGUGACUCUGUUUCCUCAGAGUUCAUGUGUGGAUCAUAGGGUGAUUUUGAUUUCUCAAGUGCCUUCCUUUGGGCUCUGGCUUCUAUCAUGGGGAGACACCUGCUCCCUAAAUAUGAACCCUAAGAUACCUGCUCUCAGUUUCUCUCCCUUGCUGUAGCCCAGGCACUGGUGAUUACUGGAGACCAGGCGCCCAGGGGAGCAGUCACUGGGCAGGGGUGUCACCUUCCAGGCUGGCACAGAUGCACAGGCUGGGCUGUGGGAACCAUGUAGGGACCAGCCAUAAUGCACCAGGACUUUUUUUUCUUUUCUUUUUUGCAGUGUGGGGAUGGAACCGAGAUGUGCUCUACACUGAGCCCCAUCCCUAGCCCUUUUUAUUUUUUAUUUUGAAACAGCUUCUUGCUAGGUUACCCAGGCUGGCCUUGAACUUAUGGUCCUCCUGCCUCAGCUUCCUGAGUCACUGGGAUCACGGGUGUGUGCUACCAUGCCCAUCCGCACCAGGACUUUUGCACAUCAUAAUCAUGACAUUUCUGUGCCUGGAAGGCCCUUCUGUAUUCUGCAUGAUGUCUCCUUUUCACUCAUUGGGACUGAGAAUGAAGAUCACCCUCCAUGACUGUCUCAACCCUAAGUUAUUCUUUCUCCCAUUACCCCAUCCCUGGUCAUAAUGUGGCAUCUGUGCUCUGCAGACAAGAGGCCUCCCAAGGGCACCUGGCCUGUUCUCCUUAGUGCCUCAGUUUGUCCCAUGGCAGCUGCUGCCUGGUGGCCUGAAGAACAGGUGUGUGCAGGGUUGGGGGCUCUGCAGCGUGGAAGUCCUAGGCCACAGCGUGAUGCUCACGGACAGGUCUGGACUGGUUUGCAGAUGUCUUGCUUUGCCUUGGCAGGUGUGAAAUAGCAGGUCGGACCUCCUUGCCUGUGGAAUCACUUCUCAUUGACUUAAUUAUCCUGCAUCAACAGUGAAGCUGCUAAUAGGGAACAUUGGGUGCCCUGAGGAGGAGUGCCACCUUGCUCAAGAGCGUGCUUGAAGGGUGGAGGGUGGGAGGCCACUUGGCACUUCAGAAAGGCAUGUCCUUAGCUGGUUGCAGGUUUGUCCUUCAGUCACUUGGACUUAAGCAGAACCUAGUCCCCGGCCACUUCUUUCUUUUCUUAAAAUAAUAGGAAAAGGAAGCCCAUGGGGCAGGGGACUGGGUCAGCACUCAGCAAACGGAAUAACUUGUCCCAGCGACUCUGGGACUGCAGCUGUGAGGAUAAUGAGGUGCCUUCCUGGGCAUAUAAUCUCAGCAAUUAUGCAGAGCUCAUUGGAAAUUGGCGAACUGCCUCCAAGCUGAGAGCCCUGGUGGGCUACUGAGGACCUGCCUAUCCCUGGGUCUCCUGCUGUGCUGCUUCUCUGCCUUGAGAGUGCUCAUGGAGCAGGAGCCAGGAGGCCAGGUUCCCUCCAGGGCGAACCGUGCGGGAGGCUGCUGGCUGGACAGGUUGUGGGGAGGCAAAGCCAACUUCCAGAAGCUUCACACUGCUGCUCAGAGCUCUGCGGGUGCUGUCUCCUCCUCCGGUGGCCUCGGCGGUCUUAGCAGAUGGAAGCACUGAGGAUUGCUUAGAUCCUGUCACACCCUGACCCCUUGGAUGGGCUAUGUGAGGCUCACUGUGGUUUGAAGUUUGCUUCUGAAAAUGGGGUGGAGAGGACCCCUGGAAGGGAGCCCAGGCCUUGUGAGUCUGUACCUGGUGGGUCAGGGCUGCUGGUCAUCCCCCGGGAUGUGGUGAAGAGGUGAGCCCUGCCAGGCCAAGGUGGUUAUAGUAGGCCAUGCCCCACCUGGCUGGGCAUGUGCUCUUCACUGGUGCUGAGAUCUCCUGUUUUACUCCAUUAGUAAUGACUUUGGUGGCCUCGGGUAACACCGUCAUCAUAGUCCUUUGCAAAUGCAGGAGUGGUACUGGCUUUGAGCACCUCACUUAUCAGGGAUUCAGUCAGUACUGCUGCAGACUUCCAGAAAGGUGGUGAGAGGCCUGGUCCCUCCCAGUGAGGUCACAGGCUGCUGAGGAGGUGAGAUGGGUACAGAGAACGCAGAGCUCGGAAGCUGGCAUGCUGGGAGUGAGGCCCAGGCAGGGGGGCCGGGGGGAUGCAGAGAGAGAGAUGGAAGGAGACAGGCACCCUGAGGGCCAGAGAGAUUGUAGCAGGAAGGACCAGGCAAGGGAAAGAAUGAUUUUCAGGCAGAGGGGGGUUUAACUGGCAGAUCUGAAGCACAUAGAAAAGUAGAAAAAAAUAAACUACGCACUGGGCUUCUAGAACAUCUUGUGUUUGCUGACAUCAUAGACACCCGGACAUGUCCUUCCUCAACAUUUCAGUGUAGUAUUCCUAAAACUAAGGACAUUUCCUACUUCAGCACAACUUCAUUAUCUCAAAAGAGAACAUUUUGAGCAAAAGUUUGGAAGCAAGCAAGAGUAGGGGUUGUUCUGGAAUGGAAGGAAUGAGUGAGUCAUGGAUGUACCAGGCCCUCAGAGGGACACGAGGAGUCACUCUGGGUCUGUUGUCAAGAGGUACAGUGUCUGGAGGAGGAAAUGGAGCCGAGACGGGGGCCUAGGACAGAAGAGCCGGGUUGUGUGUGCGGUGUCUGUUCCAAGGAAUGGUCCUGGGGCUGGGAUACUCCAGGGUGGGUGGACGCAGGGUGUCCUGACCUGGCAGCACAGCACAAUGCAGGCAGGCAGAGGGCAGGCAGCAGGCUCCUGUGGGUGGAAUGUGCCCGAGACCAUGAGGUGCCUGGGUACCCAGGCUGCACAGGGGAGCAAAACCAAGUUAGAGGUGGGCUUGGAUGCUAGAGGGUAGGAGGCUCGGAGGUGGCUGGUCUGUUUGUUGUUAGGCCUUAUAUGGGGACCACGUGGGUGGGUGGGUUCCCUCAGAAUGCUCUUGAAUGGCCCCACUCUGUUCUGCACCAUGUCAAGUGGGCUGGUUCCGUCUCUGAGAUCCUGGCUCCAGCCCUGCCCAACAACCCCAGUUCCUGGAUUUGCCCUGGAGAGGUCCAGUGGCUUGGAAAAGUGGCCCCCAACACAUGUGUUAAAGGCUUUGUCCCCAGCUUGGUGCUUUUGGGAAGUGGUGGGGCCUUUAGAGGUCUUCAGACUGAGGGGGCAUGUUCUUGAGGGUAUUAUGGACACCAUCCCCUUCUCUCUCUCCUUCAUCACCUGGCCAUGGGAGGAGCAGUUUUGACCUUUCACAUGCUCCCACCAUGAGGUCCCACCACAGACCCAAGCAAUGGGGACAACUGACUAUGGCCUAAAACCCCUAAAACUGUAAACCAAGCAAGCCUUUUCUCUUUGUAAGUCAAUUGCUGUUGAUAUUUGUGAUUGUGAUUCAGAGCUGACUAACACAACAGGGGUGCAUCCUGGCAAAGACACAGGGACCCAUAGGCCGCACAGCCUCAUAAUGGCUGCCCAUGUGGGAAGCUGGGACUGAGUGGCCUGUUGGAAGAGGAAAUGCCAGGUCUGGGUCAUGAGGGCCAGGGGCCCAUGCUGGUUUUGUUCUGGAGUAGGACAGCCCAGGAACUGUUCACUUUUCAUUGCUGGGACACAUCUUUGCUCCUUCUUUCCCAAAACCCAUCCUCGAGUCCCUUGGUGGAUGCACUGUAGCUAGGGAGGUUUUGGGACCAGUGUGAUAGCUAAAAUGCUGGUGUUUCUGCCCCAAUUUCACACAUGGAUGGAGUCAGGAAUUGGAGGAGGAGGCCCUAUUUUGCCGUGGUAUUGAAAUAAGUGUCUUUUCUGUUCAGGGAGCUCUAGGGAGUCAGAGCUGGUUCAGUUGUGAGGGCAGCUCUUCCAGCUCCCUAGCCCUCUGUGUGCGAGAACACCAAGAUGUGACCUGGGAAGAGCCAGCAGGAAGGAGGGCAGGCACAGUGUUCCCACGCCCCAGCUGUGUGGCUUUUGUGUUACUUAACCUCUUUGUGCCUUUGUCUCCCACUUGUGUAUAAGAGAAAGUCCCUUCCUUGUAGGCAGCCAGGAGGAUUUUGGGAAGUACCUUAUACCCACUGAAGUCAGCCAUCCUGACCCCCAACCCCGCUCCCCAUCGCCAGCCAUGCCUGUGCCCUCAAUGGUCACCGUAGGAGGCACAGAGACUUCUUCUAGCAAGACUGUAUUGUUGAGAUGCCUCAAAACAGGAGCUCUAUCUAGGAGUCCUUUGACAAAGAUUUUCAUCAACACGAGUAACUGAGUCACUAGGGUCAUAUCUCAAAAAUCAUUUGCACGAUAUCAAGCUCAGAGGUUGUGUUUGGGGGUCUGAUUUUGUCCUUUCCAUGUGAACUGGCCUUGCAGCCAUCUCCCACUCUGGUCCCAGGUAGUGUGAGCCCCUUCAGGGACCCCUUCAAAGGGUGGUCACAUCCAUCCGUAGCUCUUCAGGGCCAUAGGCAGCUCUGGCUGGGGCCCCCACUUUAAGAAGGGCUACACACUGUGGAAGGACAGGUCCUAUACUGACCCUGUCAUCUCAACUUGUUCAAUUCGCAGAACGGAAAUGUGCUCACACAGCAGCCACGGGCCUGAGAAAGGCACUAGAGGGGAGGCAGAGGGCUGGGGAGUGAAGGGACACCCCAGGUUAGAGNGAGCUCUGAGCCCCACUACCUUGCAGAGCCUUGUGCAUAUGAAGAAGUCCCAGAAGCCCCAGCAGUUGGCGUCCUUUCUGGAAGAUCCAAGCUAUCAUUUCUUACAUGACAGAAAUCCUUCCAAAACACAGGCAGCCCCUGCUCUGGACCUUGGUGCCCUUGCUGUGGCUCAGCUUGCUCCCCCUGGAAGGCCAAGGAUAUUCCGCCAAUCCCAUGGGCGCCCAGUGUGGGAAGCAUCAGCCAGGCAGGUGGGUGGAGGUGGCACUGAGGCAAGGCCCCAGAGGUGAUCCCAGGAGGCUGCAGUAAGUUGAGAGCACAUGGUGCACUUAUGAGGGCUCACCUGAGCUGGCACCGGCCAUUCCAGGCCACGGUCCCACGAACUGUGUGACAGCAGCCGCAGACACUGCUCUAGCGCCUCUUUCUGGAUUAAUUGCAAGAGCUCUCAAUUAGGCCAACCACUUUUCCUCAGCACAGUGCUUAUCUUAAAGAAUAACAAGAUUAGCUGUGCCCUCCGGGCCCCAUGCUAACACCCAGGGAGCUUUGCUGGCCCCAUAGGACCUUUUGGAGGCAGUGCCGGGCAGGUGGUACAUAGGGGCUGGAUCAGGUGACCAUGGCCUCUCUGGUUGGCCUUGGAGUCAGGCCCAGCAGCUUGUUCCUCUGGGAAGGAAUUGUAGGGGGUGGGGGACUUUCUGCAGUGGCAGACCAAGCUGGACUUCCUGCUGCAGGUGCCCCGGGCACAGUCCCCUUCCUGUCUCAGUAGCUGCACGUUCUUGAGCUUCAUCUCUGAAGCUGAGAGUCCUUGCCUGAACAAUGAACACCACACUAUUUAGCUCUGGAGGCCUUCAGCCCUCUGUGCUCACCGAGUAGCAGCCCAGGCAGGCCACUCCCUCAGGGAGUGGCUGCUGGCUUGUGGAAGUUGGGGCUGGGGACCAGGCCCUGGGGAUGAAGCCCUGUGGCAUCUGAGUGUCUACACCUCCACGGCUGAUGAUCCUGGGGCCUUCUGUGCCUUCUUUCCUGGGAGAUGGAUUUCCCUUGCCUGGCUGAGUAGAGACAGCUGCAUUUCCACGGCCACAUGCCCAGGCCCCGAUGAACCUCAGAGGGUUCCAUGCUGCUCUCGCCCCAGAGGAUGAGCAGCCUGGGUCGUGGGGAUGCAUGAAGCUAGGGGAGCAAGAAGAGCCCAAGCUCUGGAUCAGGGGCCUUGGCCAAUCCAAGGUGACCUUGGGAAGCCAUCACACUUGCAGAUGUGUGAAGAACAUCUUUGCAGGGUUCUGGGAGGGAGCAGCCAGCCUGGAGCCUGGUGCCUGGCACCUGCCUCACGUGACACUCCAGACAGCAGCAGGCUGAGCACGGCUCUGCUGACAUCAGCAGCAAUCCUGUCAGUUGGAAUAAACACAGUUAUAUAGUCAGCCCCCAAGCCCCUCGGUGGGCCUGUCCGAUUCAGUGGAGCCUGCUUCCUCAGCUGCCCGGGUAUCUGGGCACAGCAGGUGUGGUGGUUGGAAAGAGGGAAGUGGGUAGAUAAGUACAAGGCAGUGGAUUCUCUCCCUGCCCAUUCAUAUUUAUAAUCAGUGAACAUUUAUUGAGUGUAUGCUUCAAGGUGCUCAGAGGAGAACACUUGGGGAGACUCAUCUGCUUGCCAGUGAUGAGUGUUUGGUGUGCCAGGUGCCCUCUGGGUGCCCUGAAGGUGCAGUCUCACCUGCAUCUUCUGAGUCCUGGGGGAAGGGGCUGUGCUGGUGGGGGCUGUUGAGGGAGGUGGUGAGGGGAUGGCAUGGGGAGAGUGGGACCAGACCUCACGUCCUCUUGUUCUAUACCCACUUGGAUGUGGGACCUCUUCUGAAUGUCCCCUAGCUCCUGCUCUGCCCAGACACCACAGGUGACAGGAUCUGCUUGGUAUCAGCAGGUGGCUGUGGCUUCAGUUGCUGGUUUGGGGAUCCUGGCUCAAUCAAGCACCUGCCCCUCCUCCUGCUGUACACCAUGUGCGCCGCCUGCAUUCAGUGUCUGAGCCCCAUGCUCCGGGCAGAGCUGCGGGGGCAGGUGCUGGAGCAGACCCGCAGCUCACCUGGGACACCCUCCCUUGCGCCCGCCCCAUCGGCCCCCAUGCUGCCCAUCCUCUCGCUGGGGAGGGGGAGGUCUUCUGCUCUCCUCCCCACCUGGAUCCCUCCAGGCCUCCUGCCACCAUCCUCAUCCCCACCUAUGCCCCAAUGCCCGAUCCUGCCCCCAGUCCUUUAGGUGGUGCCCUACUUCUCAGCAUGAAGUUGUGCCCUGUCCUUUGAGCCCCAGAAGGAGGGCAGCAGCUGCCCUGCUCAGCAAUUCUCUGAGUAGCUCACACCCUAUGGCCAUUUGGGUGGAGGGCUGGACACGGAUUAGCUGGCAGCCAGCCACCCACUGGGAGAAAUGAAAACUCGAGGCCACGUGCAAACCCAUCUGUGGACUUCCCUGCAAAGUGUUCAAUCCCACUCCAGCCAACCAUGGUGCAUGCACACCACAGAACCUUCCAUGGCCCCCUAAAGGACAAAGCCAUGGAUCCACACGACACCCUGGACACAGUGCAGGGGCAUCAUGCAAUGGAAAGGGGCCAAGAGUGCAUGAUUCUAUUUCCUGGGCAUGCUGGAAAAGAAAAAGGGGGGUGGUGGUGACAGAGGACAGGGACAGGGUGGGGACGACCUGGCUGCUCAGGUGUAGACAAUUUUUAAAAGGAUGGAUGAAUCCAUCCCUGUAUUGAUCAAGUUGUCUAUGUGACCAUAUCCAUUUGUCCAAAUCACAGAACUGUACACUUAAAAGGAUGUGUGAAGAACAUCUUUGCAGGGUUCUGGGAGGUAGCAGCCACCCUUACAUACAUUUUUACUGUACGUAAAUUUUGCCUCAAAAUCUGACCUAAAGUUUUUUGUUUGUUUUUUGUGUUUUUUGGUACUGGGAUUGAACUUAGGGGCACUUGACCACUGAGCCACAUCCCCAGCCCUAUUUUGUAUUUAAUUUAGAGACUGAGCCCUGAGCCCCAUGCUCCAGUCUCACUGAGUUGCUUAGUGCCUUGCUUUUGCUGAGGCUGGCUUUGAACUCAUGAUCCUCCUGUCUCAGCCUCCUGAGCCACUGGAAUUACAGGUGUGAGCCACCAUGCCUGGAUUGAUGUAAAGAUUUUAAAAUCCCUUCUUCUAAAAUCACAUCUUUCUUUAGGGGGAAAAAAACCAUUUUGCCGACAGUAGAACUCUUAGCAUGAUGAUGUUGAUACGACCAAUGUGUGUUGCUGCCCCGAGCCCCCCAGGGAUGCUCAUAAAGCCCUGCUUGGAAACCCGCUGGCUGCUUAUCAGGCCCCUGCGUAUCCAGACAACCAGCCUGUCGCUCACUAGAUACUUUCAAAUUUCCUUUCCAAGGCAGGCUGAAGUCCAUGUAAAUAUUGACCAAAGAAGGCAACCCGGGGUUUGCCCUGCACUUGGUUAAUAGUUGAAGAGUCACUCCUGGGUUAUUUUUCCAGUACCUUUGAACAGGUGGGCCUUCUUUUAUUUAAAAUAAAAAGUCUAAAACAGCUACAUAGAAACCAAACAGGAUAACCGCAGUAGAAACCCCUCCGAUUUCAAUGGAUCUGAGCGAAUCCUUUGAUAAAGCAGUGACCUCUCUUGUCCUCUUUACUGUAUUUAUUAAGGAAAUUCCUAGUGUCUAUUUGAUUUGCCUCAGUGAGGACUUGUCUCACGUGCGCAGCCUCCCUUUGUCCUAGCCUGGGGCUCUCUGGGUGCACGAGACUGUCCGCUUUGGAGAAGCCACAGUGCAUCAGUGGAGUGGCAGAGUCUCUAGGUGGCUUCACGGCUUCCUUGUCAAGGUGUGCACAGGCACCCAUCUAUGGCACCCUUCAUCUACCACUGGGGACUUGAGGGUCCCUGAGUGCUGGGAAUCAGAAAUCAGGAUGGGCCACGCCAUGGUUCUAGCAGCUAUGCUGUCCUCUCCUGAGGUUGUUGACCAGCUGACCACUCCCUGUUCCUUUCUGUCUGGGUAUCCCCUGCAGGUGGUGGGAUAAGGCCCAACUCAAGUCAAAGUCAACCAACACUCCCUGAGUCCUCUGGAAGGUUAGGUGAUGGAAGGACACCUAAUUGUCUAAUGGUCCAUGCCGGCCUGGGCCAGGCACCACCCCCACCUCAAAUUCCCCUCCCAGGAGAUCAAGACUCAGUGAGAAAGAAUAAGUGACUCAUCUAAGGCCACCCAUGGGAAGGGGCAGAACCACAGUCUAGAUGCAGAUGUCUGCCCUCCCCACUCUACCAGCUCCAAGAGCUGGGUGCCAGAUUGAUGGCUGAGCUUGGGGACAUGUCAGAGGCUCACCUGCCUUGCCAGGCCCUGGGGCGGGGCCUUUGGUCUCUGGAGGCAUGUGUGGCCCUUGGCUCUCCUCUUCCCCCUCCCUGUCUUGUCUUUCCUCCUGUUUCCCCCAAAAGAUAAAUAUCAGGAACAGAGGAGCAGGCCCCAAGGUGGAGCAUGAGUAGUGGACAGGAGAGCAGUCCACACAGUGUGACCCUGUCUGAGGCCAGUGUUGGAAGAGCUCGCUGCAGGCUUCUGGGGCCCAGGACUGGGCCUGUGUGUCGGGAGGAGCUGCAGCCUUCUGCCAUCGCUGGGCCACUGAUCCUCUUGCAGGGGUGGGCCUGGGGACAUUUAAGGACAGGAUCUGCCCUCGUGGGGGAUCUCAGCAGAAAGGAAAGGGGCAAGGCCCAGAACGGGUUCUUUCAUGGGGGCAAGGCAGGUAGCUGUGGGGCCCUGUGUCUGGGUGGUCGGCAGGGUGCCCUCCUCUCUCCCUUCUUUCCAGGGCAGCCCUGGCCCAAUAUUAGGGACUGGUAUCUUUAUAAGCAGGAAGGGGAUCAAGUGCAUCAUCACUGCCCUAAAUCUCUCAAGUCACUGCCCUAAAUCUCUCACACAGCUGACAUCCUAUUCGCACCCUCCCUGGCCUGCAAGGGAGUCCUGCAGCCACACUGGAUUCCACAAGGCCAUGGCCUCAUCUAGAGGAGAAGCCCCCAGGGGUGACGGGCUCUCUUGAGGGGAGGGUGGUGGGAAGUGAGCCCUGAGAACUUCCCUGCCCGGUCAAGAAGGGAGGGCUCCUCGCCAUUAUCCCUCUACCCAAACCACCAGGAGCCAACUGCAGGGUGGGGGGGUGCUUCCACAAAUGCCCCCUUUCUACUCUGUCCUCAGCAGUGGAGUGUGAAUUUUUGGUGGAGGUGACAGUGGGACCCUGAGGCCCUCCUAGCCCCAGGAAGAAAGGUUGGGAAGCAUCUGUAUGUGCUUUGGACCCAAGGCACUGGCUCUUCUGAGGUACUGGGGGCUGCUGUAGGAGGCCUGUGACCUUGGCCCAAGUGUGUUGGGUAAAGCUCAGGUUGGAGACUUGGUAGGGGAAAUGGGGCUCAUCGAGUGUGGUCUUGGGCUGCUUGUCCUUGAUCAGCCCUUCCCUCCAGGAAGCUGGUCCGUCAGAAGGCUUUGGGGUCAUGUGGCGCUGCCCGAGUGCAGCUGCUGCCAGGCCUCCUGGGUGGGCAUCUCUGUACUGAGGGGUGAAGCGGGGCUGGGUGGACAGCAGGCUGUCCUGGGGGUAGGGGUCACUGCAGAGCCUCCCUUUCAGAGCUAGGAGUCCCUGGGAAUGCUGGGGGCCAAGCCCAGGAGGGGCCACAACUGGAGCCAGACCCUGGUUUGAAUCCAUUUGCCCACUGUGUGCCCUUGGGCAAACUCUUCUAUAAAACACCCCCACAGAACCUGAGGGAAGAGGGGAGCCCUCCCUGGCUCUUCAAUGAGGACCUUAACCUGAAGGAAGCUGGGACCUGGCCAAGCUCACAUGGUCAGUGAACAGCUGCACAUUGCUGUUUCACUUUUUAUUUUGACCCCUCCACCACUGUGCCUGUUAGGAAUGAGCUCAUGCUGGGGCUGUGUCCCUCUUGUUCCUCUAUCCUCUGCACCUCUCCCGGGCCACCGUCCCUUCUCUCCUUCCCCUCCCUCUCCCCUCUCUUUUGCCAGAGUGUUUUAAAGCAGAUCCUGACACCAUGUUAUUUUAUCUCAUGUGCGUGUGUGUGUGUGUGUGUGUAGUUGGACACAACACCUUUAUUUUUAUUUAUUUAUUUUUAUGUGGUGUUGAGGAUCAAACCCAGCACCUUGCACAGGGAAUGCUGAGCCACAACCCCAGCCCUGAAAUAUAGAAUUUCUAAUAGAUAAGGACUUUAAAAACCAUAACUGUGAUACUUUACCACAUUUCAAAAAUUAAUAAUUUCAUUUUAAACAGGUUUGUUGAAGAAUACUACAAACAGCACCUAUGUGAAGUGAGUUUAAUCCAAGAAGCCACCUCUUUUCCAUGAGAGUUGUGAACAUUUUCAUUGCCCCCCAAGUGUCUUUGAGUCCCUUUGUGGUCCCUCCCUCUUGCUCCAUCCUGCCUGCUCCCCUUACUCAAGUUACCACUGACCUGUUUUCUGUCACUAGAUGUAGUUUGCAUUUGCAAGUAUUUUUAUAAAUGGAAUCAUCCAGUAUAUACUUUUUUUUUUUUUUUUGGUCCAGUUAAUAAAUAUUUAUUUUUUGGUACCAGGGAUUGAACCCAGGGGCACUAAAGCACUGAGCCUUUUUUAUUUUGUAUUGUGAAACAGAGUCUCACUCAGUUGCUUAGGGACUCCCUAAAUUGCCAAGUCUGGUUUUGAACUUGCAAUCCUUCUGCCUCAGCCUCCCCACAGACAUUACAGGCAAGCGCCAUCCAGCCUGGCCUGCAUUGUUACUUUUUAUAAAUAAUUGACUAUUACUGUAUCAAUAGUUCCCUUUCAUUUCUGAAGAGUGUUGUAUCAUAUGGAUAUAAAGUAUCUAUAUACAGAAUGGAUACAGUGUAGGUUGUUUACUCAUUCGCCUGUGGCUGAACACCUGGGUUGUUUCCAGUUUUUGACUAUUUGGAAUAAAAUUGCUGGAAAUAUCCAUGUUCAAGUCUUUGCUUAGGCAGCUGCUUUCCUCAUUCUUCAGCAAAAUACCAGGAGUGGAGUGGCUGGGCCAUUUAGUAGAUGUGUGUUUAACUUUUUUUUUUUUUAAUAUUUAUUUUUUUAGUUUUCAGCGGACACAACAUCUCUGUAUGUGGUGCUGAGGAUCGAACCUGGGCCGCACAGACGCCGGGCGAGCCUGCUACCGCUUGAGCCACAUCCCCAGCCCGUGUGUUUAGUUUUUUAAGAGACUACUUUUGAAAGUGCUGGACCUUUCUACUUUUUGAUCAACGGUUGCUCUGCUCCUGUCCAGCCUUGGUGUGGUUAGUCUUUUUAUUUUUAGCCACUCUAGUGGGCACACAUUUAUUUUGUUAUUAUUGAGUUUUAGGAAUUCUUUCUAUAUCCUGGAUAUGAGUCUCUUAUCAGAUAAAUGAUUCAUGGGCAUUUUCUCCCAUUCUGUGGGUUGUCUCUGUAUUUUCACAAGGGUCCUUUGAAGCACAAAAGCUUAAUUCUUUGAAAUCUACUUUAUUUAUUUUUUUUCUUUGGUUGCUUGUGAGAAACCAUUGCUAUGCUGAGGUCAGAAAGAUUUACAUCUGUUUUCUCCUAAGAGUUUAUAGUUGCAGCUCUGACAUUUAGGUCUUUGAUUCACUUUGAGCUAAUUUUUGCAUAGGUGUGAGGUUAAGAUCUAGCUUCAUUCUUUUGCAUGUGGAUAUUCAAUUGUCUCAGUGCUACUGGUAUCCAGCCAAUGCUACAAUAUUCAAUUGUUUCAGUAUGCUUGAAAUCAGGAGUGUGAGUUUUCCAACUCUAGGUCUUCUCAAGAUUGCAUUGCCUAUUUUGGGAACUUGCGUAUCCAUGUUAGGUUCUGCUUGUCGAUUUCUAUGAGGAAGCCAGUUGAGAUUCUUCUGCAUCUACUGAACGGUUUAUCCUGGUGUGCACAGCACCACCAUAAGUAGACAUCUGCCCCUGCCCUUUUCUGCUGAGUCAUUCUUCAGGGUGGGGCUGCCUGUUCUCUACUGGCCCACCUGGGGGUGAGCUCCAUUCUUUAUACGAUGUUCCAGGUAGAGCUGGAGCUAGUACUAGAAGCCAGAGCCCCUGCCUAGUCAUCUGUUGGACUUGUUUCUCAAGGUUCUCUCUUCCUCCUGCUCUUGUAAAUUGGGGGUGGGAGGUUAAGCAGUAUGAAGAGGCAAGAAUGCUGAUUGAGCAGACCCAUCCUGCACCGUAGGAUCAUGGGAGAUCCUCGUACCCCCGCUCCCCAGCCACAGCCUCUCAGAUGUGAAGCAAGCUUGCUCAACGCAUUGUCUAGCAAACUCUGGUUGGCAGAGGGCUCUGUGUCCUGGCUUCCCCAGUGUGAUCUGGGUCCCUCUCUCAGGCAGUCAAGUGCAAAUGUAACUGUAUUGCAGGGGGACACCUUGUGUGUACCUGGACAAUGAUUCGCUCCACAAGCUGGUGGAAACAGCAGGUAAUUACUGUCAAAAGCUGCAGGCGAGCUGUGUCCUGUGACAGGGCACUUGAGCCGUGUGCCACGGAACAUCGUCACUGAUGCUGUCCUUGCUGCUGCUGUUGCUGUGCACUGGAGGGGGCUGGGCACAGGCUCACUGCUCCAAAGAGGAAGAGAUAUACAGGCCUCGAGAGGGAGCCUCGGCUUUGUAUACCUGGAAGGACAGUGUGCACCUGGGUAUCAGGGAAAGGGCAGGUGGAAGUGAGGCUACUUGGGGUGGAAGCAGAGAGGGGGUAGGUGGUCGAGGGAGGAUGGGGCAAGAGCUCAUUUGCUAGUCCAGGGGCUCACCUAGCUCAGUAGGGAUUGGGCUCACGGCCCCACUCCUGGCUGUGUGCACCUGCUGUGUUUGAUGGUGUCAUGUCAACCUUUGCUUCAGGUGAGACAGGAAGUGCACCUCAGAUGAGCUGUUCUCAUGCUGCUGGGCUCUCUGGGGCUGGUGGGACCAUCUGGUGGCCUUGGCAGCCUCAGGCUGUCCCUCCAGUGGGCCCCAACAGACUCCAGAGCCCACCUCCUGCUGCCAGAGGAGCCCCGAGUUUCUUGCUCCAAAGGAACCUGUGUUUCAGGGGGCUUGGGUUGAGAUGAGGGAGAGAGAAGAGCCAAGUAAGUGCCCAUAGGGGAUCUCCCCCACUCUGACCCCUGUGUGUCACUCUCACCUAGGAAGGACUGUGAUCUAGUAGUCUCACACUGUGCCUUUCUCUGGGGGCCUCCUCCCUCCCUUCUUCAUGGGGCCUCAGGGCUCCUGAAUAGUCUCCAUUUCCUCCUGGCCAACCCCACCCUAGAGGCCUGGCUCACUGGGAUGUGCAACCUGUGGUCUCCCUGUGUCCCCAAGACCCUCCUCAGUGGCAGCUCCAGCACACAGAGGCAGGGUGUGUCAAGCAGGGUCUGAUUUGUGAAACCAUGGCCACAAUUCACCAGGGAGUGUGGCAGGCAUUCAGAGGCAUAAGCAGGUUCUGGCUGGGGCCUGGUGCUGUUAGGACGUUCAGGGGCAGCUCAAGGGAUGGGAAGUGAGUGAAUAGGAUUGGGGACGGGGGGGGGGGGGGGGAGGGGGGGGGGGGGGGGGGGGGGGGGGGGGGGGGGGGGGGGGGGGGGGGGGGGGGGGGGGGGGGGGGGGGAAGGCCCAGCUGCAGCCAGGAGGAGCUGGGGACAAAUGCAGGAAGGCAGAAAGCAAUCAGGAGUGCUGAAUCCGACUGCACCAUCUGAGUGGAAGGGACCAGGCUCUCUCUUUGGUUCUUAUGGAUGCUUUGAAGCUAAUGGAAGACCCGACUCUUCCCCAGCAAAAGUUGCAGACACACAGCCUGGAGUCUAGGGCUUCAGUUGGAGAUGGUCGCAGACUGUGCAGCAUGCCCCAGGUGCAUGGCUGUGACCCCUAGGCUGGCUGUGAGGAACAUGGCUUUUUUCUGAGGAGUUCAGAUAGGAUCCUGGGACUAGAGCUGGGCUUUGGGCCAAUUUAGCAAUAGAAGGAAGCAGAGUGGGAGAGGAGGAGCUCUAUGAGGUCAUUCAGGGGUGGCUGGGAAGGGGGAGGACCUGGCUCCGAAUGCACCUGGUGCCCCAGUGUGGCUUGGGCUUUCUGUCAUCUCCCUGGUGACCCUAGGUCACAUAAAACUUUUGCUAUUGGCCAAUAGCCUGGCCUUUUUCAUGCUUCAGCUCCCACUCAUCUGUCUACACUAAAAUGAAAACAUGGUCCUAUCCCACAUGAUUGUCUGUCACAUUCCAGACACAUGCCGUCAUUCCUUUAUCCUCAGGGUGACACUCUGAGGCAGUAUAUUGUUAGCUUCACUUUACAGGCCAGGAAACUGAGGACAAGAGGUCAGAUCAGCUGCCCAGUGUGGACAGUAGAGGAGCAGGUGUUUGAAAUCAGAAGUAAAUGCUUGCCUGCUGGGUGCCAGAGUAGGUGCUCAAGUUAGUCCUUCAGUGAAUGUGAAGGAGACUCUUUCUCCCUUCAAAUGGGGUCUUUAAAAAAAUCCACCCUCAGCAGCCCUCAGUUCAAGAACAUAUAAGACAUUUCCAGAAAAGGGGCUGGUCCCCAGAAGGUAGCUGCCCUGAUGCUUUUCUAGCCCUCAAAGAGCAUCCUUAUUACAGUUUUCUUGAGUUGGAGACUGAUUCUAGUCUUUGGGCGGUGAGCACCAAAUCACAGGAUGCCUUGCAGACCCGAGACCUACCUGGUUCUGCCAUGUACCACUGGGUUGUCAGCAUCCCUGGGCAAUGGUCUCCCAGGGACACGACUGUAUGUGAAUAAUAGAAGCAGCUCAUUUUACAGAGGCUUGCUUGGCCCUGGGCUGAGCACAUCCUGCGGAUCUUCUAUAAUCCCAGGGUAACACUCUGUGAUGGAUGUUAUUGUUAUUCAAGCAGAGGAAACAGUCCAAGGUCACCUAAUUUGUAAAGACUGGCUCUGUGAUCCAAGGGUAUCCAGAUCCAAGGAUCCAAGGACACUCUGUGCUUACCCCGGUGGCCUUUGGGCCUUUUCCUAUGAAACCAGCAGCUCUAGGGGUCCUUGUGGCAGGGCAGAUCACCAUGCAAUGCUGGCGGCUCCUGGCUCUAACACUUUGAAUCACAGAGCCAGCCCCCAUUUUCAGCAACUUCCUGCAGACAGAUUUCUCCUUCUUUGUGGACUCUGAUGGAAAUGACACACUGCCAGGGUGUGGUGAUAGGCACAUGUCAUGCUGGGCUUACACACUGGAGGCCUCGGGAGUGUGAGGUCACUGUGCUGUGCCUGCUGCAGUGCUGUUUGCAUUGGGCAUGUGUGGGCAGUGGCUGGCACGGCUCCCUGGUGGGCACUUCAUGUGCCUGCAGCCUCAGGAGCCACCAUGAGCCCAUCAGUUCACACAGUGAAAUGUGUCAGCCAGCUUCCUGUGACUUCAAGAGACAAUGAACUUAUAAAGAGAAAAGUUUGGUUUUGGCCCACGGUUUGAGAGGUUUCAUUCCAUGAGUUGUCCCUGUUGUGGCACAUCACAGCAGGGACAUGCGGCAGAGCCAAACCACUCACCUCGUGGCAGGGAAACCAAAGAGGAAGGGGCUGCUGUUCCACUGGCUCCUUCAAGGGCACACUCCAUGACCUGAAGACCACCCUCUAGGCCCCACCUGGUGAAGUUUCCACCAUCUUCCAACAGUGCUACUUCACAGAUGAGUCCUUUAACACAGUGGCCUUUGAGGGACACUUAAGUCGCAGACUAUAGCAGUGAGCAUAGCCCCCUACAGCCGAGACACUGAUUCUGCUCCAUCCCCACCAUAAUCCUAUCAUAGAGAUUUCCACCACAAGAUGGAAGCAUGGGUUUUAAUCUGAAAACUCAGAAUAUUUGAUUGUUGGAUAAAAUUUAUUAUUAUUAUUAUUGGUACCAAGGAUUGAACUCAGGGGCACUUGACCACUGAGCCACAUCCCCCAACCCUAUUUUGUAUUUUAUUUAGAGACAGGGUCUCACUGAGUUGCUUAGUGCCUCACCUUUGCUGAGGCUGGCUUUGAACCUGCGAUCCCCCUGUCUCAGCCUCCCAAACCACUGGGAUUACAGGCGUGUGCCGCCGUGCCCAGGCAUUAUCAUUAUUACUGACUUUAUCAUUUAUUUAUUGACUUUAUCAUUAUCAUUAUUUGUGAUGCUGGGGUUUGAACCCAUGGCCUCUUGUAUGCUAGGCAAGUGGUCUACCACUGAGCUACCCCCUCAGCCCUAUGAUUAUCAUCGUAACUGGCACUGGAGAUGGAGCGCAGGCCUUAUUCAUGCGAGGCACAUGCUCUACCUCUGAAGACGCCCAACCCACCCCACUCCCCUUUUUUGGUACUGAGGCUGGCAUCGUCAGCAUGGCUGGACGGUCUCCCCCCAUGGAAGUGGGACCAGAGGCCAAUAGGGCACUGUCUAGGAGCCACAGACCGAGGAAGAGUCAGGAUGCUCAUGCGCCUGGAUGAAAUGCUGAUGGGCUUCUAUCCAUUGCCUGCUCUGAUCCUCCCCGCACACUGGGAAGGGGGCAGGAUGUGUUUCAUAUCUUCACCUGAAUUGUUUGCAGUAGCUGGCAGCUGGGUGAUCUGCCUGUGGACCUUUCAGCUGGCUGUGGCCAUCACCACUAGGACGGCAUCCUGGGUUCUACUGCAUCCCAAGUUUCCUCCUUUUGUGCUGGGGAUUAAACCUGGUUCAGUGGUGCUUUACCAUUGAGUUUCCUCCCCCAUUCUUUUAUUUGUUUGUCUGUUUUGAUACCAGGGCUUAAACACUGAGCCACAUCCCCAUCCCUUUUUUAUAUUUUAUUUUUUUAAAUUUUGAAACAGAGCCUCACUAAGUUGCCGAGUCUGGUUUUGAUUCUCCUGCCUCAGCCUCCUGAGCCGCUGGGACCUUUUUAUUUUUUAAAUUUGAGACAAGGUCUUUCUAAGUGGCUGAGGCUGGCCUCAAACUUAUAAUCCUUUUGCCUCAGCCUCCCGACUUGCUGGGAUUACAGGCAUGUGCCACCAUGCCUGGCUUGUGGGAGAGAUUUGAAAAAUAGCGAAAAAAGAAAAUGAAUCAACAUUUGGAGAUCCUGGGGGUCGGUCUUAUCCAUGAUGGAAUUGAGCUGGGGACCCCUGGUCAGGGCUGCCCACAGCAAAAACAAAUUUAGAAUCUCCAAGAAAUAUAAAUUUUGGGUAGACAACAAAUGAUUUUUUUUUUUUUUUUUGUACAACAAAACGAGUUCCAUGUGACUUUCAGAAUAGCUCACACUGAAAAAUUGCUUGUUUUUCUGCAAUUCUAAUUUAUCUGGGGCAGCUUGUAUUUGUCUGGCAGUCCUAAAGAGGGAGGGAGUUUGGACAUGGGAUGGGGUUCUGGAAAUCGGGAUGAUGAGUAAACCUAGGAGCAGUGAGAGCAGAGCACCCGUCAUUCUUCCUCCUGCCACGUGCUGGGAGCGCCUACGUCACCCACACCCGACCCUCAUGACUGGCUCUGGUCUCCAGCUCCCUGCCUGCUUCCGGCCCCUUAAUUGGAUGAAGUGUGCAGCCGGGCGCCCGAAGAGGGGAUGGUGGGGCUGCCGGGUAGGGAGGGAAAUUAACCUCAGACCCAGGAGUCGCACUGGCUGGUGAUUUAUUGAUUGCCUUGAAAUAAUAGUGAUUGAAUAAGAAGCCAGCCAGGCCAGCCGGGAGGCAGAUGACGGCUGUUCAUGGGAUUCACGAUUCACCAAUUGACCGCUUCCUCUUCCUCUUUCCUUGUGGUCUUUGAUUGUCAUUAGGUUGUUCUGCAAGAGCAUCACCCACCCUUUCCUAGACUGAGAAGAAAGUGGGGCUCACUCUGUGGGAGAGGCUAAGAACAGCAGAUUAGCCCUUGUCACCAGAACAGCAAAGUCCUGGGAACCUGGAGCCGAGUCUGGAGGACAGGCUCCCUCCCACCGCCCUGUAGGACACUGUGACUUGAGAGUUGGCACAGUGCUGGACUGUGGGCUCCAGGGCCAGGGCCUGCCCACUCACACCCCUUCACAGUUGGGUGUCCUCGGACACAUCUAGGAGGCCUCUUAAAUCAGGAGAAAAGACCUGCCUUCAGGGUAGACGUGUGGCCCUAUGGGGUAAAUGACCUUGACAGCCCUUCUCAUCUGGCCCUAGAGGUCACCUUCAAAAGUUGCAAACAACUAGCUUUAUGGAGGGACACUUUACCUGUGCAGGUUCCCCUGUGUCACCAUGACCCUGACAAGUCCCCUCGGGCCCUUCCUGGUACAUCUCUCCAGCCAGCACUGGACAGUUUGCCCAUCCCUUCAGGGGUGCCAGGGAGGGCACUUCAGGCCCUUCCUUGUCCUUUCCUCUUGGUGGUACUGGGGAUGGGGCCCAGGGCCUCCUGAUGGGGGGCAGGUCUUUCACCACUGAGCCACACCCCAGCUCCCCGUGCUGCAUUUCUGAAAGGCAGGAGUCACAUUCCUUGGAUAUGGCAAGUUGGCAACUCAGAUUGCCACCCUCCACCUCCUCCAUCUGUAGACGACAGUCCUGAGAGAGAAACUGGCUUCCCAGAGUGCAGAGGAUAAAUUGGGCACCAAACCCAGGACCUGACUAUUGCAGCACCAGGGCCUGUGGAAGGGUCACAGGCCUCUCUGUGGGAGAGAAAAACUCAAGUGAACUCAAAAACCAUGUCUUAGGAUCAUGUAUUAGUGGGACACCGUGUGCCACUGUGACUCCUUUGAAAAGCAAAUGGGCUCACAGGCCUCGGUGGAUAGAAAGGGUCUAGACAGGGGUCUGGAGAGUUCUUCUGCUGCACUUCUUUUUGGCUGUGUGACGCUGGAUUGAUGGUGAUUGUGGCAUUGUUUAGCGGUAUUUCACCCUGGAUGGGCACACACUGCUCCCCUCCCUGGAGCUCCCUACAGACCUCUCUCUGGACAUGUCUCCCACUGUGACCUGAGUCAGUGCAAGUUGGAAGCCAGGCUGUUUCCUCUGGCCCAGGGAGGGCACUUCAGGCCCUUCGCAGGGUCUUCAUGCUGUGAAGACAGGCGCUCUGGAAAGGCCUUGGAGGUGGCCCCGUCUCCCACAGCCCUCCAGAAGGAACCCUAUCAUGUGCACAGAUGUCAGACUACCCCGACACCCCUCCAGAUUCAGGGCCUGUCUGUCCUGCCAUCUGCCUGCAGGAGCAGACACACAGGCAGAGACUCGUCUCUGUUGGCCGGUGGACUCGGCUCCCCCAGGCAGGCCUGGCCCAUUUAUGUAUUUCUGGAGCUUCAACAGCACUUGGCACCAUGGCCUACACCAGUAGGCACUCGCCCGUUAAUUGAGUUGGGCUGAGUCUUCAAAGGCAAAUGAAGUGGAUUGUCUAAAUAAAAAGCUGCUCUUAGGUACGUACCCAAGAAAGGAAAAUGCAUGUCUACGAAAACCUUUUUUUUUUUUUUCUUUUAAUGUUUUGUAGUUGUAGAUGGACACGAUGCCUUUAUUUUAUUUGUUUAUUUUUAUAUGUGGUGCUGAGGAUCGAACCCAGUACCUCACACAUGCCAGGCAAGCACUCUGCCCCUGAGCUACAGCCCAGUCCCCCACAAACCUUGUACCUGAAUGUUCACAGUGGCAUUAUUUGUAAUAGCCAAAAACUGUAAAUCCAAAUGUCUAUCAACUGAUGAUGGACAAAAAAUGGUGUCUUUAUUUAACAGAAUAAUAUUCAGCCACUAAGAGGAAUGCAGUACACAUGCGUGCUGUAACAUGCAUCAAUCUUGAAAACGAGUAAAGGCAGCAAGACUCAAAGGGCCAUGUGUUGUAUGACUCUGGUAUAGGAAAUGUCCAGAAUAGCAAAUCUGUGGAGACCGGGAGCAGACCGGUGGUUGCCAGGGGAUGGAUGGGGAAGGGACAUGGGAGUGACGAUAGAUGGGUGCAGGGUUCACUUUGGGGUGACAGAAGUGUUCUGGAAUGAGAUCACAGUGAUGGUUGCCAGUUUGGGCUAAAAGGGAAAACAUGAAGUGGCCCUAAGGACUGUGACAUUGGUGGCCCCAGGCACCAUGAUGCCCCAGCCAGCUGCAAGGCGUUAUGAUAUUCCCCCGACCCUGUGAGCUCCAGCACCGGGCAUCUCCCCGACCCCCUCUAGAGAGGGGACUGAGCUUCCCUUUGGCUCAGCAGAGGCUCCAGCUUCUAGAACACAGCAGAGGAGCUGACAGCUGACUGAGGGGCAGGCCCUGGAACCUCCCACCUCGCUCUCCUUCCCGUAAAUGUGGGCCCACACCCCUCCCCCCAGCCCUGCUGCCCAGGAGCUCCAAGGACAGGCCCAGGACUAGAGCUGCCUCCUGGAGAGGGAGUCAUGGCCUUGGGCCAGCUCAUGGGCAGGGCCUUGAGCUAGUCAUCACUUGCCAACUGAUUGGCUUCUGGGAAAGGCAGGUCCAUCUGGGAAGCUGGGCUAGGCAGCAAACAGACUCACCGUGGGGCCGGAUAGUGAUAGAUGGCUGGCCCUGGUGUGCCACAGCCCACAGCGCCCCAGGGCGGCAGUAUCAGCAGCCAGAGACCUUGAUCCUUCCUAAUGGAUGUUCCUGGACUUAACAAAAGGGGCUAUGUGCUGAUAAACCUAUUGCAAAUUGAAAACAUUGUUAAGGCAAAGAUGCAUUUAGGCUACCGAACAGCCUCGCCUCGCCGUCUCUCCAGCCUUAAACAUGCUCCCACAACUCAUGUCAGCCAAAUCACCCAACACACAAAACCUAUUUUAUCAUAAAGUGUUGAAUAGCUUGUGUAAUUUACUGUAUCCACAAAAGACUGUCACACGGAAUACUGUAGGGUACCACUUGUUCCCCCGGUGAUCGUGGAGCUGACUAGGAGCUGUGGCUCACUGCCACUGCCCAGUGUCAGGAGAAAGGAUCAGAUUACACAUUGAUAGCCCAAGAAAAGACCCAGACUAUCCCUUUUAUACCAUCAUAAGUUUGAAAAUUGCUAAGUUGAAGUGUCAGAAGCUGGGGACCCUCUUCACAUGCACAUGCACAUACGUAUGGGUUCAGAUUCAUGCCCCACCCAGAGAAGGGACUUCUCACCUAAUUAGAACCCCAGACUGCACAUUUGUCCUUCUGCAUGUUCCAAGUACCUUCCCCCCUUCUCUUCCCUUCCACCCCGUGCAUUCAUCUGGGCACUGGGCUGGCCGGGCAGCAGAAGCCCAGCCGCGGGAGCAAGCAUCUGUGCCUUGACAUUUGGGGAAGGCAACCAGCGAGGCCCUUGGAAAGGCAGGGGAACCCCCUGCUUGCUUCCCUGCCCUGACAGUUUCUAAAUGUUGAGGUUCCAGACGUGAUUAGUUGGAAGAAGCAAAAGGAUUCUGUGGCUAAGAAUUACAAGUUUGGUAACCGGUGCCUUCAGGAGAGCACAGGAGGAUGGGGAGGGGCUUCCCAUUCCUUCCUUGGAUGGAAUACCAGGGGAGUCUCCAGGGCAGGAACAGGACCCAGGGUGCUUCCACUAUUCCGAGAACUUCCUCUGGCUCUUCUUGCUUCUCCUGUCUGCUGGGCCUUUUUGGAAUUGUACAUAAUGGGACCAAGGGAGUGUAGAAACCCUGCAAAGGUGGCCCUGAGGCAUAGCUGGCUGGCUGAGGCAGGAGGCAGGUGCUCCUGUGCGCUUCUCCUUCCUUGGCACUGGGGAUUCGGGAACCUGGGAACACAGAGGGGGACUUGUCCCCCCACGCCCUUGCCCUGAAUUCUCCCUGAUAAACUCCUCACACUUUGUUCCCCUUCUUUCUGCCUGUCAUGUAGGUUGGGAGAUGGGAACAGAAAACCCGCCAGCUGAGCAGGGCCUUCGGAUCCCCCUACCUGGCCUGCUACUCCCUAGGUGGCGUCAUCCUGCUCUUAAAUGUCCUGCGCUCACACUGGUAAGCCACCCAGGCUGGUCCGCCUUGUGCAGGUCACUGUCACUGUGAAAACCCAUGGCCCCAGAGUUGGAGGGCUGUGUCGGAGGGGCUGAUACGACGUGGGGACUCUUGUGUCUGAACACACAGGGAGCUCGGCUCUCCAGGGCCUCGUGCCACAGCACAGCCUCUGCCAGCAGAGGGAUCCUAGGGACCUCAGAAAGGAGACACUGUGAAUUAGUCUGUUUCAUUGUAAAGGGGUCUGGGACAUGGAGAAACGGAGGGGGACAUACCAGGUGGUCCCCAGGCUUAUAGCCCCAGAGUCCCAUCCAAGAACUGCUGGGCAGGGGGCAGAUGCCCAGGGUGGGAGCCCCAGGGGUCAGAAUCUGACACCUCCCAGGCCUAGGUGUGAAUCCGUGUCAGGAAGCCACCCAGAGCCAGGUGUUGUGGCAGCUGCCUGUAAUCCCAGUGACUCAGGGAGGUUGAUGUAGGAGGGUCGGUCACAAGUUCGAGGCCAGCCUCAGCAACUUAGCAAGACCCUGUCUCAAAAUAGAAAGGGCUGGGGAUGUGGCUCAGUGGUAGAGGGCCCUAGGUUCAAUCCCGGCUACCACACACACACACACACACACACACACACACACACAAGGAAGCACUCCGUCCAUCUGUGGGCUUGGGACAUAUUACCCUCCUGCCCUGAAAGAGAAAGGUGAGAGUGGGGGAGCCGAAUUUAGAUGAUGAAGAUCAGCCCAGGGGGCCCAGGAGUGAAGGCUUCCUCCCAGACACGAGGCCACCCCAGUCUCUGCAUUCCCUGAAUGUGCUUGUCCUGUGGGUACCCUGGGGACGCAGGCUGUGCAGGGAUGAUGGUGGGACUGAGUCACUGGGACUGUGCUGAGUGGAGCAUGGCCCUGCCUCUGGGCCUGGGGUCCUAUUUCUGGGCUCUGCAAGAGCCACCCUGGUGGCUCAGGGGCUGAAUGUGGCCCCUGUGGUGCUUUAAAAACACGAGGAAAUGGCCUAAGAAUCCCCAUAUCUGACUCGGAGCAGUUCAGAAGCUCUGUGACCCUGGCCACAUUUCCAGGGGAACUGGUCACUGGGGGUUUAGACAGGCCAUGGACUGCCUGGUCUUUCCCACUUUCCUUGCCCUAUAACUCUGCAGGCAUAGUGCACACACAUGAAGCAUCCUGCUCUGUGCUCCACGCCUGGCGUGCGGGCAGCUAGGCAGUGGGCAUGGGCGGCAAGCCAGGCUCAUGCACCGUGAGGGUGUGGCCCAGGGCUCCCUCUCUGCUGGUAGUGCACCCUGCCUGUCUUCUCUCCAUUGUUGUGGGCUGGGCUGUCCUGUGAUCCAGGAGCACAGGGGUGGGUGGGGAGGGUCCUGCUGGGUCAGCCUCUACCCCUGCUUUGGCUCCUGACUGGUGCCUCCUGGCUCUUUGGCCUGAAGUUGUCCCUGGUCUCCAAGUCAUGUGAGUAUCUCAAGGGUCUUGGUGCUCAGAGGAAGUGGGUGCCAUGGCACCUGCCCUGGUUUGAGCAUGAAAAAGCUUCUCCAGGGAAACCUUGCUCACCCUAUGACAGGGCAAGGGCUGGGUUGGCCACACCACCUUUAGGCCUCAGUCCCGCUCAGCCUGCGUGCUCACCGACCACAGCACGUUCACAUUUGUUGUCUGUAGGUGGGAGGGGGGCCCACUGUGCAGGUGGGGAAAGUGGGGCUUGGAAAGACGUAGUGGGUUUCACAGCUCUGUGAGAAAAGGUCUGAUCCACUCAGGUCAGAGGAAAGGGGCAGUCGCAAGCCAGGUGCCACUGGGCUGGGCUCACAGGAGGAGAGGGAGAUGGGCCUCUUCCCAGCCCUGCCAGCUGGGAGGUUGCCCACAGAGUGUCCCUACUUACAGAGGAUGGGCUGCAUCCGCAGGAUGGUGGGGACCUCGGCCCUCCAGAUCCCAGCAGAUGGUGUGUGGGAGGAGACUGUUGCCAUUGGCUACACAGAGCCCCCACGGGGACACUGAGGCUGAGAAGUACAUUGGGCUGAAGGAGCCUAGGGAACCAGUUUAGGAUCAGGCACUCCUAAUGAGUGGGCUGAGCCCCCUGGGCCACAUAACCCCACUGCCUGCUGGCCAGACUGUGUGAGUGUUCAGAAACACUGGUCAGUGCCACAGAUCAGCCGUCAUCACCGAGCACCAGGAAUGAGCAGCCAUGCUAAACUCUCCCUAGGGCACUGGAUAAUCAACUGUGGUGUCAGCUGAGCCUGUUCAUUAGAUGAAGACCCCAAGGCUGGCAUGUGGUGCACUGGGAGCAAGCCCAGCCCUGUCUACCCAGCCCUGUCCCCAGGAAGUGCUCUGCGUCCUGCUCAACUCUGACUUCCUGCUGAGCCCUAUCAUGGUACAGAGAAACUCACUCCAAGCGUAAAUGUUGGAGGCAUCCCAGAUGGUCUCCCACCAUCUCCCUGCUCAGUAUGGCCACAUACCCCUGGAUCUGCCCUGGAGAUCCACGCCUCUCUGUCCACCCUCCUGCCACCUGUGGAUGACACAGCUGUAUCCUUGGUGGCUCUUGGCCUUCAGUCCAGGCCUCCACAUGGCCGUAAGAGUGACUUGGUUAGGACAAACAUCACACCGUAUCAUCCUGGCUAACACCCCCAUGGCACUAAGAAUAGCACUCCAGUCCCCAUCUGGCCUUCCCAUACCACAUCAACACCCUGCCCACCCAACAGGCUCCCUUUGCCCAUGGCACUGCAACUCCAGGCCACCUCUGCCCCAUUGCCAGGGCAGGACCUCUGCCAGGCUCUCUCCGCACUCCCCUGCUUUGUCUGGUUUCACAUGGUUUGGCUUGUGGUACCUGCCAGAUAACUGGUCUCCAGUGGCACACUAUAGAGACCCUACCUGAACAGAGCUCAGCUCCCCUGGGCUCCUGCUCAGCCCCUGCUGGUCCGUGACGCCCUGCUCAGUCCCUUUAAGGUGUUUUCAUACCUAAUGCCCUGUUUGACAGACUGUUAAGAUCAAACCUGUCUUGUUGCCUAGUGUGUCUCCAGGGACUCACCUGGAGGUGAUCAUGAAGUAGUUGAGAUUAAAUGCAGAGUGGAUGAACCUGCACUGCGAGUAUAGAAGCCUGGGGCUUGAGCCUAGCUGACCUAUGACCUCUUGGAGGUCUGACCCUCUCUAAAACCUCCCAACAGGUAAACUAGGUACCUGGCUGCUCUGGUCUGGCCUUCUCUCCCGUGUCUCACUCAAGCUGUGUCUAGCACCAGGGUUUGGAUGGGUCCAGCUUUCCCUCCCAUGGCGCAAGGGUCCCUGGGGAAGAGGCUGCCUGGGGCUCGAGGGGGAGAGGCCCAGUCUCUGACAGGCCUGAGUCUGCCUUGCCUCCCACAGCUACUGCACCUCAGCUGCCUGGGAGGAACCCCCUUCCCCGCAGAGCCUAGGAACACGUAGCUGAUGUCAGUACACCCGGCAGGCGCUUAACACGGUCCUGCAUCCUGGUCUAAUCCUGCCAAGAUACUGAUCCUCAGCCACUGCAGACCCCCAGGAACUCCCCCCGGGACAGCUGGAGAGUCACAGAGGCCCUGGAGUAGGACAUGGUUAGAAGUGCAGAAGUUUUGCAAUAAACAUGGAGUCCCUUCCUGCUGCUGGGACAAGGUUGAACAGCCCUUGUAUGUACCUCUCAGCCAAAAAGAAACCGCGUACUAAAACAGCCAGUCUGAUACAACAGCGCUAGAGGAUGCCCAACACUGACCCCUCCCUCUCCAGGGGAUCCUGUUCCCCUUGCCUUGGCUGUCCUUUAGGAGGUGAUAUCUGCUUCCCCCUGGAACCCCUGUGUGCUGUCCUGCAUGUGGCUGGCUUCACAGGGCAGAACUUGGUGGAGGCCGUGCCAUAGCAACACGUGCAGGUCCUUCUCAUUCUUCUCCGCUUACAACUCCCAGCGAGGUUGUGCCAUAUUUAACAUCACCCAGCCCUGCCCGUGUCCCUUGAGUUCCUCCCAGGCCUCUGCCACUCUGAAAGUUAAUGUCCACUGAAUGCCACGGCAUAGCAUAUGUUCACCCAAGUUCCUCAGUGGGGGUGGUCUGAGCCAAGAGUGGGGGAAGCUUGGGUGAGUAAAGUGGGGUCUGUCCGCACCUCAGUGUGGUGGGAAACAGAGAGCCGUGGGAGGCUUGGGAGCAGGCGGCCCGGGUUGGUUUUGGGGUGUGCAAGGGCUUCCUUGCCUCCCUGAGCGAAUCUCACUCAUCUACACUCUUCAGUUGGGUGCUCCCACUUCUGGAGGAGGCCUUGCUAGGGUGCCAGGGAGGGAGAGAACAGGAAGGCGUAGGAGCUGGCUGGCUGCCCGUGGGGCCCAGGACAGCUGUGGACAGUUCAGCGGCUGACCCCAGACAGAGGCCCUUUGUGUCUGCUCCCUGGGUGAGGGAGUCCUCAGCUCAGGCUGGCGGCCAAGCUGGUUUGGGCUGUCUGGGCUGCAAAUUACCCUCCUCCCCCAGUGGGGCCCAUUGCUCCCUGAAAGCUCUGCUGGGGAGACCACGGUGACCUGCUCCCUCCCUCCUCCCCUUCCCCAGCCACUGCCUGGUUCAGGAAGCCAGCUGCUACAAGGGGCCACCCAAGUCCAGCAAAACUACUUAAUGUCUUUGCCCUUUCUCUUCCUCCACAAACAAGCCUUUCCCACGGGUAUGCAGACACCCAGGCCCUCGGUGAGGGAGUGAGGGAAGGAGGAGGUGCACCCUAGUGGCUCCUUCUCUCUGGUAGUAGCUAAACAAAUUUUGCAAACUACUGCCCAGGACCCAUUCCGGAGUCCUAGACUUCUAAGAUCUUGGCCUCCUGGCUCCAACUCAGAGGCAGAGAAGGAAGGAGUUCCUGAGUUAGGUGGGGGACCAGCAGGGUCAGGAAGAGGCCCAGGAAAAGCAGCAGCGUGACCUCCAGGUGCCUGACUCCAGCCCCUCUUUGUCAUCCCUCAGCAACGACAGAUGGCUUUGGGACCAGUUGGCUCCGGGUGUGCAGGGGACAGAGUGCAGCCAACCCUUGGUGGCAGCUUACUUUAAAAUUUUUAAAAGUACAAUUCAGUGACAUUAAAUAUAUCCACAAUGUUGUACCCAAUACCGCCUGCAUUCUGCUUUCUGUUCUGAGUCGCACCACCCAGGUGGAAGCGGCAGCUUGUUUUGUCAAUGUCCUCAAGUUGUAUCCGUGUUGUAACAUGGGUCAGAAUUUCCUUCCGUUUAAGCCUGAACAGCAUUCAGGGUCAUGAGAGAUCACAUUCUGUCCGCCUGGGUCACUUCUACCUUUGAGGUCCAUUUUAAGUUCUUCUGGGUCAGUUCCUAGGAGUGGAAUUGCUGGGUCAUACAGUGAAACUAUGCUUAGUUUUUUUUGAGGAACUGCUAGUUUUCCGUAGGGGCUGCACCAUCGCUCGUUCCACAAGCAUUCCAACUUUCACCACACUCUUGCUGAGACGGUUACUCUGCCUUUUCGAUCAUGGCCACCCUAAUGAGUGUGAGGUGGCAUCUCACUGCGGUUUGUUCAUUUCUUGAACCGUUCUGAGUGUUCCUGGUUUGAUGCCACACUUGGCUGAGUCAGAGCCAGCCUGAGGAAGAGACAGGUGCCCGGUCAGCCUCAGCUCUGCCCUUGAUGAACUAGUGGGCCCAGGUAGGUCAUGCCACCUCUCUGAGCCUUGGUUUACUCAUCUGUGAAAUGGAAUGGUAGUUGCUUUCAGGAAGGAUCCAGAUGGGAAAGAGUGUGACAUGUGCACAUGCGCCCAUAUGGGAUCUAGGGCUGUCCCACCUCACAGGUGCUGGGGAAGUGGCCUUGGAGCUGGCUAGAGCUGACCCCCAGUGAAGCUGAUGAGGAGAGCGCAUGGUGGAGACGUGUGGAGUGGCUUUCGCGGAGGGGACCAGCUGAUGGCACAGUGAGUUGGUGCCACGGUGCACACCCUGUAGUCCCAGCUACUCAGAGGCUGGCAACAUAGUGAGAUCCUAUCAAAAACCAACAAACAGAUCAAAACAACAUCAACAAAUGGUGCAGUGACCUCCAUGUGAGCAGGUCCCCAUGGAGGAGUGGGUGGAGGGGCACUGCUGUGCCUGGAUGUGGCACCUUCUUCCCAGCAUGGGAUGCUAGCAGAGACCUGGAAGGACCCCUCAUCGCCGGUCCCUCUGCUGGGAUCCUCCUUCCUCCUCCAGGACCCCACAGCACCGCGUGUGCCUUGGAGAGCUACAAGCCACAUGAGCUCAGCUCUGACGUGCAAGUUCUGGCAGAGACUGUCUGGCUUUUUCUCGGACUUUCUUGCAGACUGUGGCCCCCUUUUCUCCAGACCUCUCCAUGUCAGCAUCCGCUGAACCUGGGGUCCCCAUCUGGUAGGUCCAUACUAUUCUCCUGGUUGGUCCAGCUGACCCAGCAAAAUUUCAGAAGUAAGAGAAGAUGUGCAUGAGCAGCCACAGACUGGUUUUCUCUUCCGAUUUUCUGGGUCAAAAGACAGCGGCAGCACUGGAUCUUGCUCCCUCCUGUGUUUUCCUCCAGGUAUUUGCUGUAGGUCCCCAUCUUCACAGAAGACCCUCAGCUUCUGUGGGACCCAGCAUCCCCCUGUCCUUCCGCCCUGCUUGCUCCCCUCCUUGGCCUCUGCUGCAUUAAUUGACAGCCAGCUCCUCCCUCCCCACACUGGCUGGUGUGUGGCACGUGGGCUCAGGUGCAGGGGUGGGGAGGGGGCUUUGGGGAGGAACUCUGCUCAGGACCCUUCCUGCCUGGGGGCUCCUGCCCCCUUGCAUCCACCAACACCCCUCCCAGUGCCUCACUUCGGCCCACACCUAGACCUGUGCAUUCUGAUAUAUAUUAAACCACACGUGACAGUUUGCCAUAUUAAGGUACAUUUACUAGUGGCAUUUACUAGUUCCCAGCAUUGUGCAACCACCUCUUUUGUACAGUUCCAGAAUGAAAGUCCCAGUGUCAUGAAGCAGGUACCCGCCCCCUCUGCCCAGUCCCCUGCUCAUCCUCCUUCUGUCCCCAUGGAUUGGCCUUUUCUGGACACUCUCGGUGUGUUGUUCUCCGGGGGCUGCGCAGAGUGAAGAGAACACACAUGCACUUGAACUGACUCCAGGUCACAGAGAGGGGGGUCUGAAGGGGCACUGUGCAGUCAGCUCGCCUGCCUGCCCAGAGGGAGGCCAGGGCCCUGCAGUUGCUGGUGGAUCCCAGGGGGCCACUUUGUCAGCUGGUCUGCACCAGCUGGUGGUCUGGGGAGGGCUGGGGCAGGAUGAGCUGGCUUGUUAUCUGGAGGCUAAUGGUGCUAAGUCCAGACCCAAGUGGGCAAUUAGUGCAGGUUUGUUUGCUCUGGCUGUGGAGCGCGAUCGGGAGGGAGGCCUGAUGGGCUCAGGGCAUCUGUUGAAACCCCUUCCCCAUGGCCUCCCCCCUGCCAGCCAGCCUCAGCCAGACCUGGGUAGCCUGGAGCCACUGCCUUCUAUGGGGCCACCGUAUUGCUCCUGAGGAAGGCCUGUGAGGUCCGGGUGGUGUGGACAGCUGGCUUCGCAGGGCUGAGUCUGCAGCCUCUCCUCCUGCCUGUCUUGCCUGGCAGCCAGUGGCCUUGGGAGGAGAUGUGGCCGUGUUGUUAAAGCAUCAGGAAGCCCAGGGGGUCUUCUGGCAGUCACCAGUGGACUUCCUUGCAGGCAGCUGGAGAACUGGUCAGAAAGGGGAACUGGGUUAGACUUCCUGGAUCUGAGGAAAGAAGAGGGUGUGCAUCUCAGCCUGGGCAAGGUCAGGUGGGGCCCAGGACUCAGGGAGAGCCUGCCUUCUGCAGCUGGAAUGGUGGGAAGAAGAGCCCCCCACACCCCUGGGGACUGGCUUUCCACCCCUAGGCAGCCGGUGUUCUGCACUGUUCACAGGUCUGGGGAGGCAGGAGAAGCCGUUCACCUGGGCUCCUGCCAUCCAGGCCCCGACCCAUCUGUUUCUUUUUUUUGUAACAUGAGAGUCUCUGUGGGCUGCUGUGGGUUUUGGAAACACUUUGAAAAGCUGCCCUGUCACUCAGAUCUGUAGAUGUGUAGCACGUUGGCCUUAAAUUCAAGUCCCCAGGUGGUUUUGUGGGGACUACAUGUUCAAAUCCAUUUUUGUUUUAUACAUGUUAGGAAAAUGAGUCCAUUAGAUUGCUCAUUUCAUGGAUUGUCUUGCUUAGUCUAAGGAGAAGAGCAAGUUCAUCUUGCCCUGAGAUAAAGGAGAAUAUGAAGUAUGUGCCAGUUUAUGCCACCCAGCAACGUGAACACGGAGGCCCACUUAAUGACUGAGGUUAGGGAAGUGUUUCUUUGUCAGUUUCAGAUGGGAACAGGGGACAGGUCUGCCUUGGGGCUGUGGACGCUAGGUGGCCAGUUGCCUGUGACCUGGUAUGAUCCCCCGGGCUCCCGAUGCCCCUCUCCCACGUAUACCCCAGGUUUCCGGGAUUUCAGGGAAGCAGAAUACAGUCAGCCUCAGGUCACAUUGGUGACCAGAAGCUCAAUCCAUGUUUUAAAAAUAGAACCCAAGGCGCAUGAAUAAAUCUCUGUUCACCCCCAUCCCUGUGCAGAAUAUUCCCAGAGGAAAUUGCUCCUAUUACCCCAUUCUGCCGCAGAGCGCACAGCCACCGAGCUCCUUGUCCCUCUGUUAAUUCUAUGGGUGGAUGGACUGUGCUUUCCUGGCUUACUGGAGGGGCUGGAACACCGCUCGCCUAAUUGGGCAUCGAUUCCAGUAAGCCCGCCACUUGUGUCACAGCGUGUUCAAGGCUGGCUGAGCCAAGAUUAGACCACUGAGGGGAGGACUGCCAGGUUUCUCUGAGGACUCUUGGAGCGGUGAUCCCAGGGCGCUCUGGGGGGGGCUCUGGCCUCAUCCCAGCAUCUGAAGGGAGGUCGAUCUUCCUGCUGGCAGCCCUGGGCUGCAACCACAGGCCCAGGAACCAUUAGCCAGCUCAGGAGGGGACUGGGGCAGCCCGUCACUGCCCAUUCACUGGCCCAGAAGCUUCCCCUGGAUGAGGAACCUUCAAGAUGACCCACCAAGAGCGUGAAACAGGCCCAGCAGUGAGUGGCCUUGUUCUCUGCCCCUGGGCAGAAAGGAGUCAGUCACAGUAAGGUCCCCCUCCAGAGUGCCCCUCUGGCCUCCUGGCCCCCUCGACUCUGCCCUAGUGACUCACCCAGUGUUGCAUGAUCUGACUGGUGUCUGUUCUGCUCUUGCACCGUACGCGCCCAGAAUCCAUUCCAGACAACACUAGGCCCCUCACCUCUCUGCGCAUCCCUCCCUGCGUCUGCUCCAGCCCCAAGGCACCCGGCCGGCCAGUCCUUUAUCUGGAGUGCUCCCCCUGUCCACCCCCCUCCCCGGGACCCCUUCUUCCUUCGUAGCUGGGCUGCAGGAUCCCUUCCCUCCUGCACCCUACACCACUGCCCCAAGCUGGCACGGCCCUCUGGCAACUUGACCUUCCCGGCACUCCUCACAGUGUCCCCUGGCACUCACGCAGCAGAAGCUUCAUGCGCGGGAGCAGGGGAGGGUCACCAGUUCUCAGAGGGGCAGGCUGAGGCUGGGACUCCCCUGUCUGGAGCCCCAUCCCCUCUUCUCUCAGGAGCCCACUGGUGACCCCAGAGACUCAAGGCGCGCAGCCCAGGGCUGCCCAGAGGGAGCCCCACGAGCCUCACUGCCCCUGGGCUCGGGUGGACUGAGCCUGGAGGCUGGGCGGUCAGAGCAACCCAGACCCUUAGCAUCACCCACGGCCCCCAUGGGUGCCUGUGGGAGACCCAGGCAGGGCUCAGUCCUGCUGGUGCCUGGUCCUCUCCGUGCCCUUCCUAUCUGCUUGGACAAUGUGGGGGAUGCCAAGGCUGGUGGUGACAAAACCUGGUGGCCUCAGAAGCUAGGCCUGCAGGCUGAGGGUGGGUCUGGGUCCCAGGGCUGCCCAGAGGGUGGGGGACAUGGGUAUGGCCUCCCCUCACAACAUUGGGUGUGGGUGAUGCUUCCUGGCUCCAUGGCAGCUCUGACCCUGCACCAAUUCCAGUGGCUCAGCCUGGAGCUGCAGGGUGACCCUGAGCCCGGGCAGCAGAAGGGCUGAGGAAGGGUAGUGGGUGGAGAACUGAGAGUGUGGGCAGCGUGACCAGGCUGGGUCUGUCCUGACCUGACCGUGUGCUGCUGCUCACAGGUCACCUGCAGCCUCUGCUAUGGUGUGGGUGACAGGCCCUCCUUCUCUGGCCCACCUACUAUGCCUUCUUGUGUUGGGUGCCAGAAAGUCUAGCUGAGGAAAGAAGUCUAGGGAGACAGCGUGCAGUGCAGCCUAAGGAUAGUGCCACAGCAGUCUGCUGUCACUGCUGGAGUGAGUGACAGCAAAUGUGUUCUGCCGAAAGAGCCUGGCAAGCAAGACACUCAGUGAUGCAUGGACAAAAGUGCACAGAUGACUGGACAGGUGCUUGGGUGCAGAGGGGAUGGGUAGGUGGAUGAGUGCACUGGUGGGUAGGUAUGCGGAUAGAUGGGUGAUGGAUGGAUGGAUGGUUGACGGAUGGAUGGAUGGAUGGAUGGAUGGAUGGAUGAUUGAUGGAUGGAUGGUCAAUGCGUGGAUGGGUGGAUAUAUGAUUAGGUGGAUGGGUGGAUGUUGAAGGGUUGGGUGGGUGGUUGAUGGAUGGAUGGAUCGGGGAUGGGGGUGGGGAGGUGAGCUGCCUUGCUGGAAGGUGUGCGGCACAGAGUGAGUGUAAGUUGCUGUGGGUGAGCAGCAGAUCUUCAUGUCUGUCCUGAAUGUCAUGAUCAUGGGGAAAUGGGAAAUGCCGGUUUGGAUCCCACACGUGCAUGCCCACACACAUCCUUUCCUUUGGGUGUGCCUCUGGUCUAACGUCCAGUGCCUCUGUCUCACCAGUGCCCACUCCUUCCUAUCGGGGCCUGUUCCCCACUGGCUCCAGGUCUUCCACUCCAGGAAAGGAGAGUCCCACUGAAGAACCCACCCUAACCCACUGACAGGCCAUCACAGCCACCCCCUUUCUGGUUAUCCCACAGCCUUUGUGUAAGGCCUUCAAUAGUGUAGCUCCAAAGGAAGGCCAACGGAGAACUGGGGGGGGGGGGUGGAAGAGGACACUAAGAAGCCAUUGAGGUGCCCUAAAAUUCAAGUUAGCUGCCUGGGUGUGGCCUGGCCUAUGCAGGGGUCUUGGGAGUCAAAUGGGCAGUGCGGAGCCCACCCCAGGCUCAGUGCACGUGGGUGCUGGGAGAAUGGUGCCCAAGACCUCAUGUGGCCUGUGCCAGGAGAGGGCAGUCAGGUGCUGGGCCUGCUGGGCCGCCUGCUUGGCACGUGCACCUUUUCUCUUUUGAGGCUCACCUUCCUCCAGAGUACGAGCUGCUCAGGGCCAGGACCAGAGCUCACAGACCAGAGGUCCUGGGGUUGAACCAGCUGCCUGCACAGAGUCCCAGAUGGUUGUCAUGAGUGACCUAUUUCAUAUGCAGGUCAGGAUUUCUGGCUUCUAGAAAAACCAAAAUCUCUGGCAGCCUGGGCCCCUGUUCCUGUCCCCUGCUGUGGCAGUCAGGACUCUCAAGGUGGCCUGGACCCCACCUGCAGCAGGCACCGAGUGUGUGACUCCCAGGCUGACUACCUUCUGAGAGUCAUGGAGCAGAAUCAAGGACGUCAGGGAACCUGUCCCAGUGCUGUGACGUGCUCUCUGUCCCCUGCCCUGCAGCUUCACACAGGCCAUGCUGCGCCAACCCAAGAUGGAGGGCCUGGAUAACCCCGCCGCCUUCUGCUUGGGCCUGGUGCUCCUGGGCGUGGGCACCUUGUUUGUGCUGUCCAGCUUCUUUGCACUUGGAUUCACCGGAACCUUUCUAGGUAAGACCCAGGGCUGGGGGAGCUUGAGCAGGUACACUGGGGUCCAAGGAUGAGUGGGGCCCCGUGGCUGUCACCUGCCAUCUGUGACAUUCCCUGGGAAGCACCAGGGACCCAGCUGACUCCCAGCUCCACCACCACCUCUGGGUUUGGCCUGUCCAUGGCUAAAAGGGGGGGGGGGUUGGGCUCUACUAUCUCAUCUGACUCCUGGACAGUGGACUUGUGCCUCCUGGGGGGGCAAUGAGGGCUCUCCCUGCUGCCCUGAGCAGGGCCCACAUUUACCUCACAGAAGGCCCCCUGGGGUCCUGUUGGCAUGGACAGAAGCAGUGGUAACUCUUCCUGGGUGCACGGUCACAGCCAUGCCCUGCUAGCCCUGGGGAGCUCCCAGAAUGCUUGGCUGCCAGGCCAGAUGGGGUCUUGGCUUGUUGUGUUUGGGCCACCAGUAGGGCUGGCACAGGCCUAGGGUGGGGUGCAGGGUGGAGGGGCAUUGUCUCUUCUUCAUUCUUCAGUCCCUAUGGCUCUUAUACUUUGGGAAUGGGUGCCCAGUGCUGGCCUGGCCAGACAUCCACUCCCUGCCAUGAUAACAGCAGCUUCCAGCUCCUUGGAAACCUGGGAGCUGAGGGCAAAACCAGCAGGAGGAGGCUGGGGCAGGGGCAGAGGGAGGCUGGCAGCUGCCCGUCCAUAGAGGGAGCUCCUCCCACAUGCAGGCUCUACCUAACGUGGUCCUUCCUCCCUCUCCAGCCCCUGGCCAGAUGCAGACUCUGGGCCUCAGCCUUCUGCAGGGCCUGGUGGCAGUCCAUGGGGUCCUGCCAGCUUGCCUGGCAUCCCUGUGCAGAGUGCCCCAUCCACCUUGGCCUUGUCCCCAGGAACCAGCCCCAAACUCUGUGUGACUGUGUGUUCAGGACUAGCUAGGCCCAAAGGGAUCAGAUGUCACUGAGCCCUGCUUUCCUGGCUGCCUGGGCAGGGCCUUGCUGGGACAGCGGGAGUGGGCAGCACUGCCCUUGGUUCUGUGCUUCCUGCCCAGGCAGGCGCUGCAGGGAGCCGCCCUACAAGAGCAGAGAUGGGGACCCUGGGAGAGGGGAGCUGCGCAUCUGGGUCUGCAGGUGCAGGCAGGAGAAGACAAGGCCUUAGGACAGAGGAAUGGGGGGCUGACAGGGCAGCAGGACACAGCUGUAUAGGGGCACAGCCAGGGCAGGACUGGAGGUCAGGCGGAGGACCCCGUCAUGCAUGGGGCUAAGCGAGGCUUCAUUCUGAGGGAGCUGGGAGCAGGGAAGGGGACCCGUAUGGAGGAGCAGGGACUGGUGGGACUGAGACUGGAGGUCGGGAACCCUGGGUCAGGAAGUGGUCCUCGCCAUGCUGGGGGCAAGAAGACCAGGAGGGCUCUGCCUGGACCUGGGGGUAGGGAGUGCCUGGGGCUACUGGAGGACGGGGUGCAGCGCUGUUCAGAGGUUAGCACCCCGCAGUGGUGGAGGCUUGGGUGGGUAUGGACACGAUGGCUGCAGACCGAGGGCUGGUGGAGUCCUGGGGAGGAGGAAGGACACCCUGAGGCUGCUGUGGGUGGACAGUUAGAAGAGCCAGGCAGAGUGCUGGGUGACUGCAGCUUUGGGACGGACCUCCCCAGAAGAUGUGGCCUAGAAAUGCUAGAGGGACCCAACAGGCGCUGGAUGUAGGCCAAGGCGGUCACUUCCUCAGGAAGGAGCCCGAAGAGCCUCUCCCCACCACCUGCCUCCAGGCCCCACUGCCCCACUUCCCACUUCCUGGGAAGAAAGAGGCUCCCAGCAGUCUUCUGGUGGCUCCUCAGGCCCCCUGCACUCUUUGUCCCCAACAAUGGGCUGCACUGUGCCUCCCAGGCCCCUCCUACUGGUGGCUUCUCCUUGUCAUGCUGCUGCCCUACUUUCUGGUGGAGAUGAAGCUCUGUCUCCCCCAGACUGGCAGGAAACAAAGGCAGGAUGUCUGGGAGAGGAGGCGGGGAGGGCGCGGGGCGUCCUUUAUUGAACCGCAGUACGGAGCCUGUGAUGACUGCCUGUGAUCCCUCGGUCACUUCUUCCUGCCCAGAGCAGUCCUGCAAGAAGCCUGAGGUGGCCCCUGUCUUCCCCCGAGGGAGAGCAGUUGGCCAGGGUGGGGGGGGAGGGGGGAGCUAUGAAAAGAAAUGCCCAAGGCCAAGAGGGGACAGCACUUGCAAAGUCACAGAGGCAAGGAAGAAGUGCAAGGCCAGUAUGGGGGAGCUCGGAGAUAGAGGGCUGAGCAGGUGCUGAUGUGGGGUGGGGCUCAGCAACCCAGACCCUGGGGCCUCGCACCCUCCAAAGCAUCUGCGGCUUGUGGGGGGCCCUCUGAUGGCUGUGUGUGCUGAACCUGCCCCCCUGAUGGCAGGGCCCUGUCUUACCUUCCUCAGGAAUGGUAAGUCCAGGGGACGUAAAUGGCCCGGUGACCCUCCCAUCCUGCCCUGCCUCAUCCACAGGUGAUUACUUUGGGAUCCUCAAGGAGGCAAGAGUGACCACAUUCCCCUUCAACAUCGUGGACAACCCCAUGUACUGGGGGAGCACGGCCAACUACCUGGGCUGGGCCGUCCUGUGAGUACCAGCCUGUGCCCCACCUGCUGGGCCCCGGAGGGGGAGGUCAUUCAGGGAGCCAAGGGCAUCUGGGUUCUGAUUUCUUAGGAGUUUCUUAUCUGUGGCAACAGGAACAACCUCCCAGAACAGGGUUUGGUGAGCUUCCUUUUAAAGGGCCAGGGAGUUCAGGGCCACAGGCAGGGCAUAGCCACUCAGUUGUGCCCUGUAGCACAAGUAUGUGCAGAGACAUGGGGAACAGUGGGUGUGGGCCACGCAGCUUCAUGUGUGGACACUGAAGUUGGAAUUUCAGGUCAUUUUCAUGUGUCAUGAAAUAUUCUUUGGAUUCUUUCACCUGUUUAAAAAUGUAAAAAGUGUUCUCUGUCUUGGGGCUGGUGUUUGCUGAGCCCUGAAUUAGCACGUUAGGGCUGAGAAAUCCCCAAGCAAUGUGCUGGUCCCACAUGCCAGAGGGGCCACAUGAGCCGCCCAGGAGCACAGAGCCAGCCCUGGCUGACCAAAACCCCUAUGUCCUCCAGGGCGCUCCUGACAGGGGAGCUGGUCCGAACCUGUGCGGUCAGAUGCCCUCCUCCCACAGAGAGCCACCUGGUGCCAGUGCAAGUGGGCCCAGGACCUCAGUCUGCCAUGGUCAGUGUGGGCACUAACAAGACCCUGUGGUGAAGGAGGCUGUACUGUGGGCCCUCUGCCUGCUUCUGCAAACCGUGCCCUCCCCGCUCCUGCCUGGCAGCUCAGAUCAGUCCAUUUUCUUCCGUUUUUGGAGAGUUUUUUGUAGGAAGCAUCUUUGCUGCUUUUAUUUAACAUUUGAAAAUUACUUGUCUAGAAUGUUGUAGGUGUUCUCAGAAACCAGAAGGACCCCAAAAGAUUAGAUCCCGCAGAGUGGAUGUCAGGAGCAAGAUGUUCCCUCCUGAGAUCACAGCCGCUAGGGUCAGUGACGAGAAGCUAGAAGGGGCUUGCGGGUCUGGCUGGGAGCCACCCUGCCCUCACCCACACCCAGACCACAUGGUCCCCAGCCCUAUAAGCUCACCUGAGGACCGUCCCUCCCACUUGCCUUCAGCACAGCCCCUCUUGCCUGGACCUGGGCAGUGGACUUUGAUAAGGGGCAGAUGUGCCUGUCACCAGACUCACUCAGCACACAGAGGAUCCAAGGACCCUGAGGAAGAGCUCAGAGUGAGACAGGCCCUCUUCCCCGGGUUCUGCUGGCAGCCUCCCGAUUCCCUGACACACCGACACCCCUCUAGGGCCAGCGCAUGCACACACACACACACACACACACACACACUGCUGCUCCUGCCCAGAUCCCCCACUCCACCCCUGGUCAGGCCUUCCAAACCCACCUUAAGGUGCUCCCUCUGCUAGGGAAACCUCCUGGCCCGUGGGGGCCCCUCUGUUCUCCAAACCCCCUGUGCUGGAAUUAGCAAUCAGUGGCCUUUCUCUCCAAGGGAAGCACCCAUACACAUGUCCCCAGCUGUCUGGUGCCCAGAGUGAAAGUCACCCUGGAACACAUAACACCUGAGAGCUGCCUCCAAGGACGUUAGCCACACAGCGUUGAGGAGAGGCAAGGGCUCAUUAGAGACGAGCCAUUACCCAUCUGCCAGACGAUGGUUCAGCAGGGCCGCUUCCAGGACACCCACAGCCCAUCCAUCCACCAGGGCCCCAUGGCUGAGCACCCAGGCAUGGCACCUGGUGGACCAGGAUGAGGGGUUCCUGAGGGACGUGAGGCUGGACAUGGUGUAGAGCCCCUGUUCUCUCCAGGACGCCAUCUCAGCAACCCUCCAACAGGGGCUGGGUUCCUCUGUCCCUUGUCUGCAGAGCAGGACUGGCAUCUCCAUGUUAAGGUGUCAGGAGGCCAAGCUGGACCUAGGGUGACCUCAGAUGGGAAAAAUUGGAGGAGAUGAGAAGAAGAAGGGGUUUAAGAGUGCAUAUCUUUUCCCCUCUGGGCUAACGGGACUGUCCCACCCCCAAAUCCCACCACACCCUUCCCCACUUCACCCAUAGGCCCUGGGGCCAUCUCUGCCCUGGGGGCAGUGGGGGCCUGUUUUGUGGUGCUGGCUGAGGUCUGAGAAGGGGUGGCAUCCUGCUCACACUGCAGGUCUGAGGUGCAAAGUCGGGGUGUCCCACCUGUCUCUCUGCUGGGUGGAGUGGCUGCCAGGGGGCCUUACCCUCGGGGUCUUGACCUGAGGCUGGGGAAGGCUUUUAAAGGGCUUUCCAAGUCCCUCCCUGGGGCCACUCCAGUGACUCCUUUGGGUGCUGGGGUCUGUUUCAUUUUGGAAUCAUGGAAGGAAGUGAAGAUGGAUCAGUCCAGCCCCUCCCACAACAGGUGGGGAAACAGACUGAGGGCAGGCCCGCCCCCGGCCACAGAGCUACAGGAGGGAACUGUGCACCCUCCUGUGGUGGCUUGCCGUCAGCUGGUGGGCAGGGGAGAGCUUUCCUAUGGGCUGAGCCCCAAACAGGUGACUCAUGUGAAUGAGCCUGGGCCUGUUCACAGGCAAGGAGACUUGGCCAAGGCAGGUCUAUCUGGGGUCAUCCCAACCAGCUAGCCCUCCCCUCCAAAGUCAAUCACGGCCUGUAGGACCCUGUGAGACGGGGACCAUGGCCAAGGACCAGGUUUCUCCCUGAGCCUAGCAGGAGACAGAGUGGCUCUUCAGCCAGGAGGAACAGGUGACCAUCACAGGGUUCCCUGUGGCCCUCUCACAGUGCAAGAGAGGCCGAAAGCCACCCCUGCUAGGAUGAGGAGGGCUAGACUCCAGCCCCCGGGCCUUCCACCAUUCCAAGUUCCAAGUCUGUACCCCAAAAACGUCCUCUGUGAGUGGUGGGGCAGAGGAGACGAAGAGUCCUACUUUAGAGCCCUGCUGACCUCUGGGGACCUGAUUCUCUGGGAAGACACAAGCUGAGAUUAGAGAGUUCAGCUCAGGGACCCGCUGCUCACAGAAGCUGCCAGGCCACAUCCACCCCUGGUCACUGGGGCUCCUAGGGAGCUUUGUCCUGAGCAGUAAAGAAUCGGUCCUGGGGAUACCACAAGCUUGGGGCCACCAGAGGUGCACCCUGGGGCCAGUCAGCCUGCUCCUGCCAGCCUCCCCAUUCCCUGGGAUGCCUGGUGUGUGCUGAGAGGCUCUGCUCGUUCUAGAAGACCGUCGUGGGGCAGGGAGGGAAGCCCAGGUGGGCAGACUCCAUGUCUACCCCGAAAACGUCUCUGGUGUCACAUCUCCAUGUGGCAGUGAGCCCACUCUAGGGACAGUGGCAGAGGUGGGGGCUGAGCUGUGGGGUCAGGCAGGCUUCUCAUUCCAUGUCGUGCAAGGCCGGGGUUCUGUCCUCCUCAGUGCCCACAGAGAGGAUGCCACUGGACCCUGGGCCCAGCACUGGAGCCUGGGCUCAGGAUUUUGUUGUAUCUGCAUCUGCUCUGUCUCCUCCCAGAGCUCCCAGACGGACAGACUUGUGAGGUCCAGGUGCCAGGGAGUGGGAGGGGCAGAGAGUCCCUGCAGGGACCUCUGCUUUGGGGCUGCCCCCACCCAGGGAGCCUGUGCUGGCUGGCUGGAGGGCAGCCAAGGAGAGCCUGAGGCCUGGCUAGUGUUGCCCACUGCCUCCUCCUGGGCCCCGACUGUGCCUCACCAGCAAGCCCUCAUCUCUCUCCCGCUGAUCUGGACGCAGCAGUCCGGCCCCUGCGGGAGCUGGUGGGAUCAGAGGUAACUGUAGAAAUAGCUUGGGGGACAGCUUGACAGCAGCUAUUUUUGGAAACCUGAGGCAGAUGCUCAGAGGCUCCUCAAUGCCGUCACUAACAAGCUGCCAGCGCUCUUCGGCACAGCAAGGUCAGAGGCUGGUCACCAGCAGAGAGCCUGUGACAGAUGCUCUGGCCAGGCCUGGGCCCACUGCACGCGUUGCCUGGGGCUGUACAACCUCCGGGCCAGGGUGGGGGCUUCAGCUGGGCCUGCGCGGGCAAGGCUGCCUACCUACCACCCAGGCGGCCUGGCCAGGGCUGGGGUGGGGAGGAAGUGGAGCCUCCUCCCCCCAUAGCCAGAGCGUUCAGGGCCGUGGCUUUAGGGGCUGCACCUGUGGGCAGGGCCUGGGGCUCAGGUGGCAGGAACUGCCAGCGGGCUGUGUGUUCUGGAGGGCCCAGACUAGCUUUCUAGAAAAUUCUUGUUUCCUAACAACAUUGUCCCUGGUAGGUGGGGGGAGCGUUUUCUGCCCCAGAAGAAUCUCCUGGGCACAAGAGAACAGGCUCCCCCAGUGUCCUGAGCUCCAGCCUGGCCUGAGACAAAGAAGGGGUGCAGGCUCCACCCCAAGAGGACCCAGCCAUCCAGGAGAGGCCGAUGGAGAGACGGUCAGGACUCAGGACCCUGAGGAUGGGGCACUGGAAGUCCAGCUCAGGAAGCUGGGCUCAGGAAUAGCUCAGCUCGUUUGUCCCCAGUGGUCCCAGUGUCAGCCGAGCACCUGCUGUGGUAGCAGGAGGCGGCUGGACCCCACUGACCAUGCAUCUGUCCCCACAGACAUGCCAGUCCCACGGGCCUGCUGCUGACGGUGAUGGUGGCCCUUGUCUACAUGGUGGCCGUCCUGUAUGAGGAGUGAGUAGGGGCCGGCAGGGCAGGGGUCAGUGUGAUCGGCCUUUCCCUGUGGCCAGGCAAGCUCUGCGGCUUCUGCCCACUGGGCCACGCCAGUCACAGGUUGGGAAGCUCAGAGGGGUCGCGUCUAGGGCCUGCGAGACCCAGGCACAUGGGCAGGAGGCCCUGGACCCAUGUGGCUUCUCCCACACUCUGAAGGCUCCCAGCAGCUCUGGGUGACAGUAAGGACCUGGUCCCGUUGGCACUGGGGGCAGGGCAGUUUGAGUUCUGGUGGGGCAGGGUGGGACAGGGCUGUGGUGCCUGGCCAGCCGACUGAAGCCCUCCCUGCUCCACAGGCCGUUCACCGCGGAGAUCUACCGGCAGAAGGCCUCCAGGUCUCACCGGAGGAGCUGACGGGUCCCCAGCGGCUCUGCCAAGGGCCUGCCCACUGCGAGGACGCAGCCUGCUCUGGGAGAGUGGUGCUGGGCCACUGCUCCUGCUGUGCCCAGCGUGGGCUGCUCCAGUGCCUUGGAAACCACUGCCUCGGGGGCCCUGGACAUGCUGCCGUGUGGCCACUGAGCCCCCCGCCCCUCCGUCCCCUCUGUGCCCACACUCGCCAAUAAAGACCCCCUGACCCCGGCACCCCCUCCAGGUCUCUUUCCACCCUCAUCCUCGUCCUCAUGGGGAAGGGGCAGGCUGUGGGCUCCUGGGGGGCGGGGCAGGGCUGGAUAUCCCUUGAGGUUCCCGGCCAGGCAGGCGCUUCCUCUGGAUCGUCCCAGGGCUGAGGUGGCACCGCGGUCCAGGCCUCACGGGAAAGGCACUCAGUGGUUCUCCCGGCUGUGGCCACAUCCUCACCCCUGGGCACCUUCCCCCCACCCCAGCACUCCCAGGACACUCCUCGCUGUCCCUUUCCUCUGGGUCCA
rnacentral:lncRNA from 1 species